rnacentral:lncRNA from 1 species
CACUAGCCGAAUGAGGUCUCCGAAUGUAAUUGGCCCAAGGAAGCAACUCAGUUUCAAGGCCAUUAACCCAACAAUAACUAGUGGAAGGUGUGGAUGGAAAGAUCAGGCAGAUUAAUCCAAAAUGCAUGGCAUAAUCAUUAGAGUUGACAGUCAUUUUUUAUAUAAAUUUUUCAUUUCUUUGUUUCAAAUGGGGACAUUCAUUGUCUUUUAUUUUUUCUUUAUAUUUUUAUUUUUAUUUUUCUUGGGUCAGUUGUCCAAAUAAAAAUCACUGUCAUUUUUUUUCUUGUCUUUAAGUCAAGUUUAUGUCGAAACAAGUGAGAAAAGAUUUCAAAAUUGGCUACCAGCUUCUUCAAUUGCAGAAAGCAAGACAAAAGGCCAGCACAUGAAAGAGACAUGAUUGUGAGCCAAAAUAAGGCAUGCAGAAAGUUGUGUCAACAAAAAAUUCUGACAAUUCAUGAAAAUACCAAGGAUCAAAGAGUUUAUCUGAGAAGCAUGGCAAAGCAAAGAUACUGUGUUUAUUUUAGAAGAACUCUUAAUAAUCUGAGUUCGGAUCAAUGAUGCAGCAAGUCAAUGGCAUAUGCUAAUGGUCGAAAUCAAGAUUAAUGUGACAGGGGCAAGAGCGAUUUCCACAAAAGCCAAAGCCACAAACUAACCACCAUGUUUUUAAACUAACAAGUUUUCUUUGUAUGAAAUAGGAACACAUGCUACCUUCGAAUCAAGGAUUUCAAAGCCUAAAUAUCAAGGGCCGUAAUAUUCUCACUUCUACAAAUGCAAGAGGUAAUGUUGCUGCACAUAUUUGGUAUUCAAACUCAUGGUAAUUCAAGCGACAUUUGUAAGGAGACGCACUUCCUUAUUUUGGUAAUUCUAGCAACAUUUGUAAAGAGACGCACUUCCUUGUUUGGGUAAUUCCAGCAAUAUUUGUAAGGAAACACACUUCCUUAUUUGGUAAAUCCAGCAACAUUUAUGAGGAAACACACUUUCUUGUUUGGUAAUUCAAGCGGUAUUUGUAAGAAGACACACUUUCUUAUUUGGGUAAUUCCAGCAACUUUUGUAAGGAGACGCACUUCCUUGUUUGGGUAAUUCAAGCGGUAUUUGUAAGGAUACACACUUACUUGUUUGGUAAUUCAAUUGGAACUUGUAAGGAGAUGUACUUCCUUAUUCGGGUAAUUCCAGCAACAUUUGUAAGGAGACGCACUUCCUUGUUUGGCUAAUUCCAACAACAUUUAUAAAGGGACGCACUUUCUUGUUUUGAUAAUUCAAGCAACAUUUGUAAGGAGACACACUUUCUUAUUUUGGUAAUUCAAGCGUUAUCAUAAGGAGACUCACUUCCAAAGGAGACACACUUCCUUGUUUGGUAAUUCGAUCGGCAUUUGUAAGGAGACGCACUUCCUUGUUCAGGUAAUUCCAGCAAUAUUUGUAAGGAGACGCACUUCCUUGUUUGGUAAUUCAAGCAACAUUUGUAAGGAGACUCACUUCCUUGUUGAGUAAUUCAAGCAACAUUUGUAAGGAGACGCACUUCCUUGUUGGGUAAUUCAAGUGACAUUUAUAAGGAGAUGCACUUCCUUGUUUGGGUAAUUCAAGCGGCAUUUGUAAGGAGGCGCACUUCCUUGUUUAGUUAAUUCAAGAAACAUUUAUAAGGAGACGCACUUCCUUGCUUGGGGUAAUUCGAGCAACAUUUGUGAGGAGACGCACUUCCUGAUUUGGGCAAUUCGAGAAACAUUUGUAAGGAGACACGCUUUCUUAUUUUGGUAAUUCAAACGCUAUCAUGAAAAGACGUACUUCCAAAGGAGACACACUUUCUUGUUUUGGUAAUUCAAGCGGCAUUGGUAAGGAGACACACUUCCUUGUUUGGUAAUUCAAGCGGUAUUUUUAAGGAGACGCACUUCCUUGUUUGGGUAAUUCAAGCGGCAUUUGAUAAGGAGACGCACUUCCUUGUUUGGGGUAAUUCAAGCAACAUUUGGAAGGAGACGGACUUCCUGGUUCGGGAAAUUCAAGAAACAUUUGUAAGGAGACGUACUUCCUUGUUUGAGUAAUUCAAGAGACAUUUGUGAGGUGAUGCACUUCCUUAUUUGAGUAAUUCAAGUGAUAUUUGUAAGGAGAUGCACUUCCUUGUUUGAGUAAUUCAAGCGACAUUGGUAAGGAGAUGCUCUUCCUUGAUUGGGUAUUUCGAAUUUUGAUUUUUAGGUGAUGCACUUCCUUGUUUUGAUAAUUUAAGCAACAUUGGUAAGGAGAUUCACUUCCUUGAUUGGAUAUUUCGAAUUUUGAUUUUUAGGUGAUGCACUUCCUAACUUGAGUUUUGAUUUCUAGAAAAUGCACUUUCUAGUCGAGUUAUCGCACUUAGCCCUAAGGAGACACACUUCCUUGCUAGUUUUAAUUUGUCAGGUGGCACACUUUUUAGCUUAAACUUGUAUCUCUAGAAGACGCACUUUCUAGUUAGAAUCCCUCACUUUAAUUCUAAGGAAAUGCACUUCCUAGUCUUGGUUAUUUAAUUUUACUCUUAAGAGAUGAAUUUCUUAGUCAAAGUCUUGAUUCAUCAUUACAACAUGCAAGUAGGUAUGAUGUGACUUUUCCAAAACUCUUCUGAUGAUAAACUGGGGCAAAAAUUCAAUUUCUCUUUUUGAAACUUUACUUUUCUGGCAAAUAAAACCUCUUUAUAAUAAUAUUUGUUUGGGAUAAUUUUCUUUUUAGUUUUGAUGUGAUUUCAGGAGCCUACCCGAAGCACAGGGCGAAUAAAUGGAAAACCAAGCAACAAGGUGAAGAAAUUGAAAGUUAAACAGAUUGAAAAAUAGCAAGUCAGGAGCUCGCCUGUAGAAAAGGGUGAAGAAGUUGAAAGCAUGGCAACAAGUUGAUGAAAUAGCAAGUUAGUAAUCCGCCUGGAGAAUAGGGUGAAGAAAUGAAAAGUCAAGCAACAAAGUGAAGAAGUUGAAAGUCAAGCAACAAGGUGAAGAAGUUGAAAACAAAGCAACAACGUAAAAAGUUGAAAGUUAGUAGAUUGAAAAAUAUCGUCAGGAGCCCGCCUGAAGAAUAGGGUGAGGAAAUUGAAAUUUAAGCAACGAGGUGAAACAAUUGAAAGCCAAACAACAAGUUGAUGAAAUUGAAAGUCAGGAGCCCGCCUGAAGAAUAGGGUAAUGAAACUCAAGUCAAAAGUCAAAGGGGGAAUGAUGUAGACACCUAAUUUUGUCCUUCCCGAAGUCUAAUUUUAUUCAUUUUUAGUUCACCUUACCAUGUGUCCAACCCCAUGUAAUUAUAUCCCACAAAAAUAUAAAAAUAAAUAAAAAACAAUACCUCUAACAAAUUUUAUCCUAUCCUAACCCCCUUUACACCUAACCCCGACCCCUCCAAUUAAAAACUUACACCUCCCCUACUACCCCACCCCUCUCACGUGACCCUCACCCUUUCCUUUUCUUGUCCACAAGCAUAUUCCCUUAACAGAAUUGAGAAAUGAACUUUCAAGGAAACUUUCAUAUGCACACCUCACUCAUGGACCCCACUAUUUUUUCUUUUGUUUUCAUUUUUAUCAUGCACACACAGCAACUUGGGAGGGACCCACGGAGGGAGGAUUCCCAAUUCCCAUUCAAUUUAGAGGGACCCAUAGAAGAAAAAGGGCUGGGAUUUUCUGAAAUUCAAUAUAUACAAAGACUGCCAAUUGAUAGAGGGGGGGAUUUCAGAAAAGGUCAUCUUCUCGACCAAACAUAGACCGGACGCGAUUUUUUUUCUUUCCCCUGGGGGCUCUUGAUCUUACCAUCAUUUUCAUCGAGCAAAGGGGAGGAUAAACUCAUUGUUUUGAUCAAAAACAAGAGGGGACGCCAUUUUUUGGCCCUUCCUUUCUUCUAGUUCGCGACACACAUAUACCCACACACCCAAAAUCACAUACCCGCAUAGAAACAGAGAGGGAGAGAGACGGGAAGGACGAGAGAUACACCGAAAGAGAAGAAGUCGACUGUAGAUCGAGUUUUUCGGCCACUCUUCACCAAAAAACACUUCCCUAGCUCCAAUUUGACUUCGAAAUCCAUCAAUAACUCGAUCUAAACCAUCUCCAUUGCUGAAAACCAAGGUCGAGUAGUUUAAACCAAUCUGAAAUCAUCCUGUUUUGGGUUGAUUCCGGCCAUUUUGAGUUCGAUUUCGUCAUGUGCAAGGUCAAUUUUGGUCUGUUCGGUUUAAUUCUGGUCAGUUCGGUUUAGUUUCAGCUCGUUGGGGGUUUGUGUUGAAUACUCUCAAGUCGUUUUCAUGGAUUUUGGUAUUUGAAUCGGAAUGCGAAUUCGGGUUUGUACUGAAUUGGUUCGUCGUUGAGGUUCUCUAUUCGGGAUUCCAAGUCCGGGUUCUCUUAAACAUUAUUAUUAUCAAUAAAUAUGUUCUUUGAAGGUCCAUCUCUUGACUCUACUCUUUUAUCUCAAAAUUGGUUAAUGUCAUAAUUUUGUGGUAUGGUUUUGAAUAUUUUGAGCAAAAUAUUAAUUGUUGGUGUGGAUGACUUGUAUGCCUAAGUUCGAAUCCUCGUUGGGUGUAUGUGGUUGAUGUUGGAUUAGAUAGUCGAAGAAUUAGUGAAUUAGUUUUGACAACGAAAUUGGGGAAGAUGGGAAUGCAAAGUUGAUAAAAAUGAAUUUUGUUGUAUUUUGAUUCAUCAAUUGUUGUUAAAUUUGAAAUGGUUAUUAAUGUCAUUGAACUCGAUAGUAUCAUGUGUUAGGUCGAGAAUUGAUAGGGAAAUCUUAGGUUUGGGUAGGAAAAUUUAGGAAUGGUGAAUUGUGGAAUGUUUGGAAUAUGUGUUGAAUGAUUUUCGUUACCGCAUUUGGGUUUAAUUGUAUUUUUUGGCCGGGGAAUACCCCGAAGUAUUUGUAUUAUUUUAUCCGAAAAAUGCCCCGAAGUAUUUUGUAUUUGAAAGAUGUUCAUGGUGAAGGCCCGAGGCAUCGGGUAAAGCACGGUAGCGUAGUUAGAAUUAGUUUAGCGUAGGUUUAUUUUUGUAUUUUUUAUACUUCGGACUGUAUAAUUGGACUGGACAUUACAUUUUGGAUUGUUUUGUUUUGUUUGUUGUUUGAUUGUUUUGCGUGCUUUUGUGUGGUUUAUACAUUUUAUAGGGUCAAAAUAGUCGAUACACUCUACCAGGCGACCGUGGUUGAACCACGGGAUCGAGGGGUGCCUAACACCUUCCCCUCAAUCAACAGAAUUCCUUAGCCGGAGUCUUUGUUCGUAAACCAAUUUAAAGAGUCAAAUCGUUUUGAAAAGGAUUUUCCUAAGGUGACUUGGCACACCCUAUUAUGCCAAGUGGCGACUCUGAGUUUUGAAUAUAAAUAAUCUUUUUUUUUUAAAACAAAUUUUCUAUCUUUUGUCACUUUGAUAAUUAAAAAUCCUUUCAAACUUAAAACGAAUCUUUUGGAGUACGAAAAAAAAAAAGGGGUGUGACAAAAAAUAUGAGAAAUGAAUUCGAAGAAGUUCAUAAUUAUGAUAAUUUAUUUUGUUUAAACUUUUCAUCCGUGUUAUCCUGCCCAUUAUAUUUAAAUUAAUCGAUAGUAAAUAACUUUUAGGGUUUAUGCUUGAUCCAAUAAAAGAGUCUGCUCUACAAAAACUACUUCGCGUAGCCUAUAUCAGAGCUUUUUGGGUGUUGGCUCAUUUCCCAGUCCGAUAUUUGGAUGUGAGUUGUGCUUUGCGAAGCGCCAAACAAGCGUCUGGCCUUGCCUUAACCUUUGACUUUACUCCCUCCUUUUUGUCACCUACUUUUACUCAUUUCUCUGAUAUAACUCCAUAAAAGACAAGCCCAAUAAAAGAUACACAAUGAAAAUCAAGUCAUCUUAUUAUAAGUAAUUCUUUAAUCCUAUGUUAUUACUAUAUCGUUCUAUUCCAUUUCAAUUGCCUAUUCUUCUAAACUUUCACCUUACUGACGAGUGUUUCAUUCCUCUUCCACCGCACCCCACCUCCUCUAUGUCAUACCUUACCUCAAUUUUUUUUAAUUUUUUUUAAAAAUAGUGGGUCCCACAAAUAAGUACGUGGGAACUAUUGGUGGUGUCAACUUGCAAAAGCACUAUAGUUGCGCCCCACAUUUAUAUCUUUUUUCUUUUUUUAUUUUUAGCCAAUCAGUGGGUCCCACGUGUUGAUUUGUUCAAUAGGUUAACCAAUCAGAAGAGAGCUUAAAUUGUCGGUAAUGUAGGCAAUGUGUCAGCAAGAUCUUUUUUGUAGGGGCCAAUUUGCUGCUUUUUAAAAUGGAAAAUUAGCACUUUUAGUCCUUUAAAAUUGAUAAAUUACUAUUUUGGUCAUUAUAAGUUUUGAUUAAAUACAUUUAAUCUUCAAUUAAUCGAUAUAUGUCUUUGAUUCCUUUGUGAAUUUUCACGAAUUAAAUUAUUAAGUGUUAAAUUAUUUAGUUGUUUGUGUAUUAUGUUAAAUUUGUAAUGGGUCAUUUGAUGGGAUUUAUUAGAAUAACACUGAAUGAUUGUAUUAAUAAUGUUGGAAUUAGUUAUUAAUAUGAGUGUGUAAAAAUCGAAUCGAUCAAUGAAUCGAGUUAAAAAAAUAUUAUCGAUUUACUGUUAUUGGGUUGUUGAGCUAACAAUUUCUUAAAGAUUUUUAUUAAAAAAAUAUCUACUUAUCGAUUCGGUUUGAUUUUUUAAUAUUGAAUUAUUGGGUAAAUCAACAACUAAUAAGACUACACUAAAUUACUACUUAGCCCUACUUUUUUUUUUAUUUCUCAUCCGGUGUCCGGUACCCGCAUUGGAGUCCGACUAAUCCGAAUUCGCGCCGAGUAGGGCCCCAUUCGGGGGGUAGCACUCCCCCAACAGAGUUUUCUCCAUGCCCAGGGUCGAACCCUCGACCUCUGGUUAAGGGUGGAGCAGCUCCAUCCGCUGCACCACAACCCAUGUUGGUUAGCCCUACUUAGCUAUUAGUGUUUUCACAUUUUAAAUUUUACAAAACCCUAUUCAAUUUACUUUCCCCUUUCCUCUUAACAUCUCUCUACCUCUUGUGAACCGUCCAAGAACUGAUAGUUUCUUUUGAUGAAUGUAAGCAGAUAUAUUUGAAUAGGUGAUCCUACUGAUCUUACUUUAAUUUGGUUUGUUACUGAAGUUUGAAGGUAACAAUUAGAUGUUAGAACUAUUUUACAGAAUAUGUCAUUUGAUAGUUUGUUAUUGACUUACAUGUUGAAAAAGUCAUUUGGUUUUAUAUGAACAUUUUCUUAUCAGUUAGAUUGAAAAUCGAAUCGUUAAGAAUCAAAAAUCAACAAAUCAAAUAUAGAUUAAAAAAAAACCCUAUUGGUUUGAUUAUUGAUUUAGCAUAUUUACAAAUCAAAAACUAAUAAACUGAAUCUAUAAUACAUAAAAUCAAACCAAACGAUGCACACCCCUAGAUAUAAACGGUCGUGUGAUAAAAAAUAUUUUUCUCUUGAAUGAACACUAUGAUACUUAAACUUGAACUAGUUGGGCCUGUAAAUUUUCUUACUGAUGAAUAAAAGUAGAGUUGGACAUAUUUUGGUUCAAAUAAAAAAAAAUUGAAAAAUCAAAUCGAAAUUUAAUUUUGGUUUCGAUUUUUUUUAUUUUUGGGAUUAAUUUUGAUUUUAAAUUUUAAAAAUUUAGUUAAACGGUUGGAUUUUCGGUUUUACAAAAAUAAAAUUGGUUAAAUCGAAAUAUAUAUAUAUAUAUAUAAAAUAAGUAAUCCUAAUCUUACGAGUUAUGUCCCUAAAUUCAUGUCUUGUGAUAUUGUUGUGGCGAUUAUUAGAAUUUGUCAUCGUAGACUCGUAGUAUUGUGAUUAGAUGGAUAACAUUGGGAGUAGCAACAACUUUCCAUAUUCUUGUGGUAUUUCUGCUUUCAAUAUUCUCGUCUUAUAUAAUAAGCAACAGUUAUGCUACUUGAGGUGUCUGUAUCAUCAACAUGUUUGUAUCAUCGAUAUGUUUACUUGGUGUUUCAUGAGGAAUUGACAUAGAUGUACAACAUUUCAAAACCAUUCAUGAUAAAUGAAAGACUCACUACUUUAAUCUUCAAAAUUCGAAAUAAAAAAUCGAAUUUGUAGAAAUCGAACCAAUCUAAUUUAUUCUAGUUUGAUUACGAUUGUCAUUUUCAUCAAUCCGAAAACUGAAAAUCAAAUCAAUAUUAAACAACCAAAUCAAACAAACCAAAUGUCCACCCCUGAUUAAAAGUAUAAAAAAGACUUCCUUUCUUCAAAUGUACCAAAUGGAUUACUUGUUUUCGAGCUUAAUAUUACAUAUGAUUCAUACUUUUAGGAUCACCAAUAUGAGGUGUCUUACAAAAGUUAAUAAAAUAAAUUUUUAAUGACCAUAAACAUGAUAUUAAAAGUGAAACAUACUAAAUUGGACAAGAAAAGAGAAAUAUACAGGGAAUCUUUGUAGCUUAAUCAAUUCGCUAUUUGAAUAUGCACAUAAUUAGUGAUAGUUCGAUUCAGUACCUUGUAAUCCCCUUCAUCAUUUCUCCUUUCCAUUCUUGAUUUUGAAAAAACAAAAAAGUAUCGAUAAAAUAUACAAAAAAAAAAAAAAAUUGUACAACUUAACGUGAUUUUGUCAAUUGAACUAUAUAUCCACUAGGGUGAGCAUUAGUUACCUAGUGCAGACAGAGAGUACAUAUCAUGAUAGAGAUUAAUCAUUCAUUAAUAUCAUUAAUCUUUUGCACUUUCUCAUAAUCUUAACAACUACUGCCAAACUUUUUUUGACAUUUCAUGUUCUUUAUAGAAUAUAGAAUAUACUAUUAAAAAGAAAAGGAUAAGAACUGUGACAAUGACAGUGUGUGGUUGGGUGGGGGCAGGGGCAAGGGGCAAGGGGUUCAUCCGAACCCCCAUUCGAUGGAAAAUUAUAUUAUAUAAAUAUGGUUAAAAUUAUUUUUUAUGUAUAUAUAGUAGAUGUCGAACCCCUUCAGUUAGUUUGUAUGUUCACUUGUGAACCCCUUGAUGAAAAUCCUGGCUCCGCCACUGGAUGGGAUGGGGUUAAAUGCUUUUUAUCUGCAAAUUAGAUGGAUCAAGGAUUAAGUCCACUUCUUUAAUUAAGUUAUGAUUAAAACUUUGAACCUAAACUUUAGCUUAAAAAAUGACACAUAUACACGUGAUUUUCCAUUAAGAAAAAGAGGGAUGAAUUAGUACAAAUUAAUUUCUUUAAUAAAUGGAAUCUAAAAAAAGUUUUUGAAGUUUAUUGAAGUAGUCUUCUCCUUGGGACCCAAUUAAUAAUAACAUGAUAUUGUUAUUAUUAUUGAUUCAUGAUUCAUUAGGGUCCUUAGGACCUAUUUUAUUCUUGAUUAGGUGCAUGGUGUUGGCAAAAUGUACAUCAAGAAUUUUCAACUAAAUAAUAUAUAAUAUCAUCUAAACUUUUCACCACUAUAAGGUCAAGAAUUAUUUUUCUUACUUUCUUUAAUCAGAGAUUUCAAAUUUUAGUUUGAUGAGAAAAAGAACGAUAUUUCGUAUUUCUUUCUAUAAUGAUUUUUUGCAAAAUAAAUACAAAUUAGUAGAAUCAAUGAGUAUCAGAUGUAUACAUGUAUAUAAUGGUUAAAUUUAUAUUUUUUAUGAUGAUUUGAUUAGGUGGUGUUGGCAAAAUGUACAUCAUGGAUUUUCAAUAUAUAAUAUCAUCUAAUUUUUUCACCACUAUGCUGUGGGCAAACAUUAAAUAUUCUUAAUUAAAGAUUUUAAAUUUAAAUUUGGAGAAAGAACAAAAUUUCGAUGAGAGGUAAUUUUUUUUUUUUGCUUUUAUUUGUAAUGAUCCUACGCCUACGGUAUAAUUCAAAUUAAUUGGAUCAAGGAAUAUACAUUAUAUAUAUAUAUAAAAUUAUUUUUCAAAAACUAAAACGACGUUUAAAAUUUAAAUUUUAAAAUUUUAUUUUUUCCCUAGUUAGUUGGUCACAAACGUUUCAAAAAGUGAGACAGAUCAUAGUUCCAGCAAGUAAUAUUUUAUUAGUAUAUAAUUUCAUCCUUUUUUUUCCAUGCAAUAUUAAAUAAAUAUAAUCACGGCCAUUAACGGAUUGACAUGCAAACUCUACUUUAAUUAUGCUAAUUAUUAUAGCUUAUCAGUUAUCAUCACUUCCAAGCUUUAAAUAGAGUGAGCUAUAUUAUUAGUGACAGAAAUAAUUAUCCCUAAUUAUAUCUUAAAAUGUUGAACAAAGUAUAUAUAUUUUAACUCUUAGAAAGUAAAACAUGACAAAUAUUUUGAACCGAAGGAGUAAUUAUUAGCAGUCCGUAAUUUAUUGUGGCUAUACGCGAUUGAAACAUAAAUUCAGCAGUUAAUGAGUUAUAACUUAGAUGAUUAUGAAAAGUUAUUUAUCCUUAAUCAGAUUGAGGUUUAGGGUUCAGUUUCUCGAGAUAGAGUUACCUUUGUAGACUUCCUGAAUUACAAAGAUUUCCCGACAUAUCAAUGGUUCGAACUUGAGUAAGUUGUUUUUUUAAUCCUUCCCUAGCUUUCACUUUUUUGCUCCUUUGCUAACUCCAACCAGUAAUCUUAAGCUGAGUUAAACUCGAAGAUUGUUUAUCAUUUGAGCAGCCCCAUGUUGUUAAACUUUAGAAAGUGAAUUUCUCGUGUUUUCUUUAAGAAAAAUCGUAUUUAAACUGCCAAAAAUAUUAGUUUCUGCAAGAAUUGAACCGAUAAUGACAUCGUAUCCAGUGACCACAAAAGUGUGUAGGAGUUUCAAAUGAGCCAAUUAGACUAACAGGAUAAAAUUAGUUGAGUUGAUAACUUGGUGGAUUAAUGACCUGUCAAUUUACUAACUCAAUCUCAGUUUGUUCCGUUCAUAUUCAGUUCAACCCGUCCACCUAACACCCUAUUCCUAAUUACAUAUAAGUGACAUUUUAUUUUUAAUAUGAUGAAAAUGUCAAACCUUUGGAGUUCAAUCUAGCAAAUUGCAAUGAUUCACUAAGGCUGUAAUUGGGCUUGUUAAUAAGGCCCAUAAAUUAGUGGCAGUUUGACUUUUGGGUCCUAGUGAGCCCAAUGGGCCAUCCAAACAGCAAUUACCACCAAGCCCAGUAAGUUUGGGGUAUUUGGACCUUGACCAUCCAGGCCCACAAAAAGUAAAGAUGUUUUUCACUUCAUUUCAUGGGCUUAGUCCUCUGGAGAUGGUCCAUUAACUAUUGAUGCUAAAGUUAAUGUAUUUUCGUUUGAAUAUAUUAUGUAUCUCGACAAACCCAAAAUCAGAAAAAAUAUAGUCGGAAGCUAAUUAAGUAUCUUUAUAAAGGAAAAAAUAGUAUCUUCGUUGGACAUAUCGGGAGCUAACUAUGUAUCUCAACAAAUCUAAAAUCAGAAUUUUCAGUAAUUAUGUAAAAUGUCGGAAUUUUCUGUAAUUAAGCUUCAAACUAUCGGGAUUUACGUUGUUUCCCCUUAAUCUUUAAAAAAUCUUAGACAAAAUGUUGAUAGACUUGAGAUUGCUAAACUGUAUUUUGUGCCUUGUUUAAAUAUUUUGAUUUAAGUUAUAUGCACCAUUAGUAUAAAAAGUGUUUUAAUACGAUGUAUAAAUUAUUCAUCAUUUUUAUCAGGUUUCAUUCAAUAUUUAUAUUUAAAAAUUACAAUAAUUACGCUUUCAACAUCCCAAACUCUUCCUACACAAAUAUUCUCUUGAUAUAUUUAUAUUCGAUAAAAGAGUGUGAUAAUUUCUCCCUUAGAGAUCAAAAGUCACAUUUAGAGAAUUUAGCUAUUUCAUAUUCGAGCGAAGGAAGAGAUCGUAUAAUUUCACAACAAAACUAAUCACACGCGAAAAGGAGUAGUAAUAUAAUAACGAUGGUGCACCAAACAAACUAGAUUUCAAUCUAUUUUCUGAUAUUGAUUUGAUUAAAGAUAAAUCUCAAUUCUUUCCAUGAAAGAACCAAACAACAACUAGGUUAGGGGCCCUUUAUAUACCUCCCAACCAAUAGAAAUAAACAAGAAUAACUAAAUCACGUCUAGUCGUCUAACAUUAAAUAAUAAAUGGACAUUGAUUUGACAACAAUAGGACAUUACUGUUGACAUUAUUAUUACAAUCAAACGGAGGGGGAAGAAGCCUCAAAUCCGACAAAAUCAGACCCUCUUACUUGACUACCAGAUAGGCUAACUCAGAAGGUACAACGCUAUGUAUCAAAAAAAAAAUUUAUUUUUCAUGCUCGAAUAAAUUGUUUACUUUUUUUUUUUUUUUUUUUUUUUUUUUUUUUUUUUGAGAUUUGAAACCACUUAGCCUCGAUUAAUCUAGAAUCUUGUCUAAUAGGAUCACCUAAGGAAGUAAACCGUUUCGUACCAAGAAAUUCUUCAUUUCUAAAGUUGAAAGUAGAAACUUUAAAUGAAGAGUGAAGUUAUUAAAACUAUACCAUUACACCACUUGGUGGUAACAAAUUGUCUACCAAAUCUUGAAAUGGAUUGAUUCUUGCAACACUAUUUAUUUCCAGGAUGAGAUGAAAGCCUAAAAACAUGGAUUUUGGCCCACAAAGAGUUUCCAUCAACACAAAGUGACAAUUAAUAAAGGCCAUAGCACAAUCUUCAUAUGAUCAAUUGAGUAGACAAAUUUGAAACCAACUCCAACCAAGUCAAUAGUGUUGAGUUGCAAUUUGGAUAUGCAUUAAAAAUUAGCUCCAAUUAAACAUGUGCAAGAAAAUUAUAUGGGGUCUCUUAGAAUAGGAUUCUCUUAGUGUUGGUGAAUAUAUGUGUAUAUAUAUACAUAUAGAAAACUUAUGUAUACCACACAUAUGAAAACCAAGUUGCAAAAUCCUUUGUCUAGUCGAUAAGAAUCCAGUUUCAUACCGUGUAAGAUUACUCAUUAAAGGGGAAACACAUUCUUGACUAGAACUUCUUGGCAUUUUCGAUGCUGAAAUCUGAAAUAUUUGGUUAAGGAUAGAGAAUCGUAUGCAUUUUCUCGUAAUCCUCAAUGAACAAAGAAACAAAUUAGAUAAAUGCAAAUAGUUACUACUCCUACUAAAUAAUAUUCCCUUUUGAUGCCAUCCAUAAUCCUCGAUGAACAAAGAAACAAAUUAGAUAACUGCAAAUAAUUACUCCCUACUAAAUAAUGUUCCCUUUUGAUGCCAUCCAUAGUGUUCCUUAUCCCAUAUAUUUAAUGGUCACAUCUCAAUCUCUUAUUAAGUUAUUGGGGAUACAUGUAAUUGAGUACACACAAAAAUAAGAGCAAAUAGUUUUUUUAUUUAUUGGAUUUUCCACACAAGUCUUUUCUUGUACAUUUUCUUUGCUGACAACAAUCAAUGACUACUACUCUGUUGAAAUUUGAAUUCUUCAUUUUAUUUUUUUUAAAGUGUUUUCCCCUUUUUUUUUUGGCUACUUUUUGGAUGUUCUUUUCUCUUUCUUAUCAAUUAAUUUUGUUGAAGAAGAUGUAUAUACACCUCUCAUGAUGGACCCUUAUCUUGAUAUAUAUCACGUAUAAGCCAAUUAAUUUUGUGUUUUGAAUUUACUAUGCUUUGCAUGUUGUCCACUUUUGUGAUUAAUAAAAAGUUGCUCAAUAUAAAGAAAUUACAUACCAUCAUUUCAUUUAACUAGUCAUAACAUGUUAUUACUCUAUAAAAAUAAUUUUUAUCAUGGAAAUGUGUGCAGAAGAAAUAAUAUAUUGAUAAAAGAAAGUUUUUCCUGAAGUCAAAAGAGCGAUUAUAUACACUAUUUGGGUUUUUGGGAAGGGGGGGAAUUGUGUUGUCAAUUAUAGGACCAUUUGUGAUAAUGAAAGUGGAAAUAGUAUCGAAGAUGAGACUUCCACAAACUCGAUAUUUUUUUUUGUUUCUCAGCUGAUGUUCGAUAUUCAUAUUGGAUACGACAAAAUUCAAAUUCAUAUUGAAAAGUUUUGUAUUGAGAAAUAACACACUCUCUAAAAAAGCAACUCUAUACUCAGAACUCGAACCAAAAAAUUAGUCACUUGUGCCAUAACAAAGUAAAAGGCAAAAAUAUAUAUGUAUGAUUAUUAUGCUCCCAUCCUCCUUCAUCUAUGCAUUGAUGUAAAAAGGAAAUGGGCUUUUACACAUGACAUGAUUUGGUCUUAAGGCAUGCAAUGGAUCAUGGCCUACCAAUUUUGAUAGUGACAAACAUUCAUCAUUCUCCAUUUCUUUUUUUUUUCUUUGGACAAUGAGAAGUGUUUUUGGAGUUAUUGAAUUUUUGGACUAACACAUCAAACAUCUAUAGGGGAAGUUUUUAAAUUUUCUAAGUAUGAUAACAAAAUUGAGAGAGAGAUGUUUUCAUGUGGUUUUCAUAUGACAUAUAUUAUGUAAAAAAUAAAUCUAUCCCUCAAUUUUAUGAUUUUAUAUGACACACUUUUCGUUUUAAUUAGUUUUAGUUUCGAGAAAAAUAACUUUAAAUUUUCUUAACUUAUCCUUAAUGGCAUGUUUUUCUAGCCACAUAACUAUAUUGACAAUGACAAAGUUUCUUCAUAAUUCAUAGUAUUGUUUUCUGACAAUGAGAAGUGUUUUUGGAGUUUUUUCAUUUUUUUUCAUUAAAGUGGAGAUUUAAAUAUUUUCCAAGAAUGUAACAAAUUGAGAUAGUGAUAUAUAGUGGAGGUUUAUAGACUUUCCAAGAAUAUAGCAAAUUGAGAUAGUGAUGGUUUCAUGUGGUUUUCACAUGAGUUGUAAAAAACAUAACAUAUAUUUUCAAACUCAUUUGAUGUGAUAUAAUUUUUUUAGCCAAUUCAAAAAGAAUAAUAAAUUUUUAAAUUAAAGAAUUAGUUGAAGAGAAAAUGUUAUGUUUCUACCCUAAAUUAUACACGAAAUUGUUGAGACACACUCAAACUUUAGGAGGGUCCUAUUACCCAUGGACUAAUUAAAAUCGUAUUUUUGGCAACCUUAGUACCUACGUGGCACAUACAUGUGCCUACAUGGACCUUCAGUGUGUUGAUUCACUGACGAAAUGGUUUUAUGGAAAAUCUAUUUUUCAGAAACGCUUCUGAAGAAAAUCCCAAAUUUUAGAUGUAUUUCCAAUGGCGUUAAGAUAACAAAUUUUUAGAAAUCUUUUAUAUUUUUAAAAUCUAUUUUUCAAUUAAUACCUUCACAUAAAAUGAGAUAAUUAAAGAGAGUGAUAUUUUUCAAAAGAAGUAAAAUAAAAAAAAAAAUGUAGUUAUAAUGCAAAUAAUUUGUUUGUUGUCACAUAGGAAGAUCACUUUUUAACUACUGAUAAACUUGUGUUACCCUAUCAACCAACCAUUGGUGGAAAAAGGUGAGAUGAUCAUAGAAAUUAUCUUUUUUAUGUUUCUAAAACAAUUAUGGCCAUAUGUCAAUGCUUUAGAUCUCAAUGUCUAGUGAUAAAGAGAAAAAAGAAAAAGAAAUUUUUUCACACAAAAAAGAAUGCAUAUGUUUUAAUAUGAACCUCAAAGAAAAUAGUUAGUGCUCAAACCAUGCUUAAUUAUAUUCAUCUGACCAAGUAAUAAUGACUAGUUGAUCACUAACAUAUAGUUGUAGUGCUACAGUUGAAAUUUCUCCACCUUUAAUUAGCGGUUUAGGGUUUAACCCUUUGAAAUGAAAAAAAUCUUGUUGAAUGUGUUAUUUCUAGAAAUUGGCUUUUUAAUACUCAAGUUUAAAGUAGUUGAGUUUCAAUGCAAUUACUAAAUACAACGUACAAUUCAUUUAAAAGGAUGUGUUCCCUACCAGAAAAGUUUUUUUCUUCUUUAGAAUUCAAACCCGAGACUCUGAUUAAAGGUGAAUGAAUUUCAUCUAUCUCACUACAUCCCGUAACAAUACCAACAAGUGUUUAAAAUCAUAUGCUAUUGACUAAAAUUACUAAUCCAACAAAUUUAAAUUUACAUCGUCUAAAAUUCAUUUCAAGAGAAAACGCUCUCAAUUAUAAACUUUAUUAUUCCCUAGGAACAAGAAAAUAUUUGCUUGUACUAAGAUGUGAAAGGCCUAUAUGAUAUGAUAUAUAGUCUGUGGUGUGAAAUCAAUUGUAUAAGUUGAUAUUAUCCUAAAUUUGGAGCAUACAAAAUUAAAUAGGAUUUAAGAUUGGAAAAUCUAGAAGGGGAUUUACAUUAUAAGAUAAUAAAUUGGGAAUAUUUGAUAUCACAAUAGUCAAGAUUCUCAAGCUUUUUUUUGUCUACACAAUAGUAUACACGGUAUCUUUGAGCCUUUAAUUUCUUUUAUUUUCAACUUUCCGUCAUAUCCUUUAACCUCUAUGAAAUAAUUCUAAAUAGUGCACACUUCCCCACUCAAAUAUUUUACUGUUUGCCUUCCGCGCAGUGACGGACUCAAGAUUUAGAGGUCUUGGGGGUUGUUAAGGAGGUCCGAACCCGUUUAUUCAUGCACAAAGUUAUAAGAUUUGGUUUGAAAAUUAAAGCAAUCGGUUGUCUUCUUGAUUUACUGAAUUCUUUUCGAAGUCUUAUAUCAAUUUUUAUACAUUUGUUAUAUAAUUAUAUCUAAUCUACCUCAAAUUUAGCAUAUUCUGGAGCACCAAAAAUUAAAGAUGGUCAUAAGUCCGCCCUCCAUCAACAAGCACGUGUAUCGAAUAACUUUGUUCAUUGAGAUUUAAACUGAUGAAAUAAAAUUACAACCGUGAUUUGAAUGUUGGUCUUCAAGAUAUUAUUUUGUUGACUUUAACGGAAGGUAUCUUGUUGAUCAGCUUAUGUGCAACUUAACUAUUAAAUCGAAUAUUUGUUAUCUGUCUUUUACAAGUAUGCAUAACUAAAUAAAUCAUCUAAUAUUUUUUGUACACAGGUCUAGCUCCAAGAUAUUGUUUGGACAUAGAAUUUCUUUUUUUCACUCACAACUGAAACUUGAACCUUGACCUUUAAGAAUUUGAUUGAUCUCUUUCUUUUUCAAUAACCACUGUAUCUUCAUUAAUUUAAUUAUGGUCAGUACGACUUUAUCAUCGGUUAUCUGUUACCUAUCUCCUCUACACGAUUAUGAAGGAACUCUAUCCACCAAGGAAUUAGAAGAUAAAUUAUAAUUUAUGUAAUUUUUUGAACAUGGUGUGCAAAUAUUUUUUUUUAUUCUUAGAUUGUAAGUUGUAACAAAAUCCUCCUAAUGUGUUUUGUUUUCCUCUCUUUAUUUGGACAUACAAAUUAUUAAAACAAAAAAGAAGCUUUAUAGCUUUAUGGAGUAGUUGAAAUGCCUUUCCACAAAGGUCAAUAUUAACCAAUGGUUUUGUUAUUAUUUGGGAAUAAUCAUUAGUUCCUUUGAGAUUUAGAUCUGUCAAUUACUCCCAAUUAAAAAAAAAAAAAAAAAAAAUGUAUAUCUGUCAAUUACUGAGAUAAAGUUGAAUUUGAAGCCUCACUUUGGACUAAUCACCAUAAGAGUUCUAGAAGUUGAGCCUUCUUAUUUUUUAUUUGGAUUCAAGUUUUAAAAAUAAUUUUUUAAAAAGUAAUAUAUAUAUGUAUAUCAACUUAUCAUAUUUACAUAAAUUUACAUCCUUAUAAAGUAAUUAUAAAAAUUUCAACUAAUUAUAUGUCUUUAUUGAAUAUAUCGGGAGCUAAUUAUGUAUCUUUGCAGAGGAAUAUAUAUAUAUAUAUAUAUAUAUACACACAUCCUAACUUAUCAUAUUUACAUAAAUUUACACCCUUAUAAAGUAAUUAUAAAAAGCUCAACUGAUUAUGUAUCUUCAUUGGAUGUAUCGGGAGCUACUUAUGUAUCUCGACAUAUGCAGAAUCAGAAAAAGUAUACCGAGAGCUAAUUAUGUAUAUUUACAGAGGAAAAAAUAUAUCUUCGUUGAAUGCAUCAUGUAUCUCGACAGAUCCAAAAUCGAAAAAAAAAUAAUAUUGAGAGUUAAUUAUGUAUCUUUACAAAGGAAAAAAUUUAUCUUCGAAAUGUAUAAUGAGCUAAUUAUGUAACUCGACAGACCCAAAAUUGAGAUUUCAGUAAUUAUGCAAAAUAUUGAGAUUUUCUGUAAUUACGUUCCAAAGUGUUGGGAUUUAUGUUGUUUGCCCUUGUUUUUAAUAGGGAGCUAUAAUCUCUAAAAUGAGACCUCUCGAAUUCAAAUUAACCAAACCCUAAAUAAAUACUGGAUAUCGAGUGAAAAGAAAAAAUACAUAUAUAAUAACUUUUGUAUAGCUUCAUAAAUUGGAUUUCACAAAAAAAAAAUCCUUCACAUAAAAGGAAAACACUUUUUUUCUCCAUUGUAUUAAAAGCUUUUAAACAUAUUUUCUUGUCAUGUUAUUAAAAAGGUAAUUUAGAGUUUAGGAAGAUGAUUGUGGAUGUUGUUAGGUUUAAAAACAUUAUUAUGUCAAUUCUAAGGUUAUAAUCAAACAACUACCUACAAAAUGAUUAAAUGUCUUGACAAAUAAAAUUAAGGACAAACAACAUAAUCUCGAUAGUUUGGAGUUUUGAUAACAAAAAAUAUUGAUAUUUUGUAUAAUUACUAAAAAUUUUGAUUUUGGGUCUGUCGAGAUACACAAUUAGCUCUUGAUACAUUCAAUAAAGAUACAUUUUUUCUUUUUUAAAGAUAUAUAAUAAGCUCCCGGUACAUUUUAUUUUUUUUUGAUAUUGGGCCUAUUGAGACACAUAAUACAUCCAACGAAGAUACGUUUUUUCCUUAUAAAGAUACAUAAUUAGCUCUCUAUAUAUUUUUUUCGAUUUUGGAUCUGUCGAUAUACAUAAUUAGCUCACUGAUACAUUCAUCGAAGAUACAUAAUUAGUUGAGAUUUUUAUACUUACUUUGUCAAGAUGGAGAUUUGUGUAAAUGUGGUAAGUUAAUGUUUAUGUUAUUUUUCCUAAAAUUAACUAAGAGAUAGCUACAACCCUAAAUACUUCGGCCAACUAAUUUAUAAAGUACAUAUAAAGUGCAUAUAUAUUGUGUAUAUUUUAUACAAAAUAUACUUAUACUAUAUAUAGAGAGAGAAAUAUAUAGAUAGAUAUACAAUUGAUGUAUGUAUUAUAUAUAUUCCAAUCGUAUUAAUAAACUAGUUGGUUGGAUGGUAUAUAUCUAUAACUUUCCCAAAAACUAACAUGAUGGCAAAAUCUCACUGAAAUUCUUUAGUUUGUUUCUACUCAUUAUAUUGAGUAUUCCUUAAUAAUUUUGUUUUUCAAAUCAAUAUGGAAAACAAUUGUACACUAUAGACUGACAUAACUCAUAUCUAAUUAUUGAUAGGGAAAAAGAGGCUUUGCAAUUCUGUGGGGCAUUUGUGUCUGAUUUGAACACCAAUUGUGAUAACUUUCUAUGUUUUUAUACAACUUUUUUUUUUUUGCCUUUUUCUUUUGUUUCCGUUUUUUAAAAUAGUAAUUAUAUUUGUUUGCUAGUUUUAUAUUAAUGGUCAAUCUAUUAUAAUUCUCUUGUUUUUAUUGUUUAAAUUUGGAAUCGACAAUAUGAGCAAACUCGUUGAAACGAAAACAAGAUAAUAAACGAUGAGGUUUCAUGACGUAUUCUAUUUGUUGAUGAUCAUGUCGUACUAAAUGAUGGAAACGAAAGUAAAUAAUACUUAUGUUUUAUAUGUUACAUGGGAGUGAAUGUUGGACUGCUAAAGUUAAAACACAUCUACAAGGUGAGUGUCAUAGAGAUAUAAAUGCUAAGGUGAUGUGUGGUCAGUGGCGGAGUCACAACCAAUGAAGAGUGGUCAGAUGAACACCCUUCGUCGAAAAAAAAUUCUGAGUAUUUAGGUUAAAUAUAGAUAUUUAUGGUUAUAUACAUAUUGUUACACAUCCUUGACAAGCUAGAGAAGCAUAGUCCAGUGAUCAAGAAUAUGUAUUUUUAUAUCAGCAAUCUGAGUUCGAACUUUGUCAGCUGCCACUGUGUGGUAUACAAGAUUCAACAAGACUAGAAGUGACUAACAUUUGCAAAAAAAAGUUCAAGUAGCACACAUCGAGGAUAUAAUGAGAGAAAGUCGAUUGACCUCAAGAUGCUCAUGUUUAUAUUAUAGGUGUGAAAUCACGGUGAGUUAAAAGUGUUAAAAAGAGGACAAGAUAGAUAGAAAAGUAUAUGGAAAGAAAUUGUCUUUCCAAAUAUAACAUCUCUUGAGCCAAUGGUUUAUUAGAAAAAAUCUCUCUACCUUCAUAAGGUAGGAGUAAGAUUGCCUACACAUCAUCCUUCGCAGCUCUGUUUGGUAGAUUACGUUGAAUAUGUUGUUAUAUUCUUCAGGUUAGAUGAGUUUGAAAUUUAAGAAGGGGGUGAAUUGAAAUUUUUUUUGAGUCGAUUGAUCGGCUCCAUCAGUCAACUCUCCUGCAAGUUCGUAUACUCAAUAAAAUAUAAUUAAAUUGAAAACAGAAACUGAAAUAUAACAAAGAACACAGAAUUUUAUACGGAUUCAAAUCACCAGUGUGGUGCCUAUUCUAGCCCCCUUGGAUUGCAAGAAUUUCCUUUAGAGUUUGACGUUAAGAAUGAGUUACAGUGGAAUUGAACAAGUUCUGAAUCUCAAUCUGUGGUUGUUCAAAUCUUGUGACACAGCCUCGACUGAUAUAAUUAAGGGACUGACUUAAUCCUUUUUUUUUUGUAACUAUUAUACACUGAGAGAAUUACAAAGCUUUAUGAAGACUCAAAGAUGAGACUGAGUGGUAGUUUUCUGUGAAGUUUCGUGAGGAUUCUUCUAUCUUCAAUGCCUUAAUAUAGUCUUUAUCUUCUGUUGCUUCUUUGCUCUAAAAUGAAAACCCAAGAAAUUUUCUUUCAAACAAGGAUUUGUAUGGAUUCCUUGAUUGAGAACUCAUAUCAUUAGCGCGUCUAUAUCAGAUAUAUCCAUGCGUGCGAUAUGAUGUUUCCUUUGCUGGAUUGAAGUGUCAUAUUCAUAUAUGUCCGAUAUGACCAUGUAGAGAAUAUGAUCCUUUUCUUAUUUGAUCUUCAUGGAAUAAUGUCUCGUACUAAUUUUCUCCUUUGAUUGCUCACCAAGAUCUGUUCCUUGUGUGGGUAUCCUUUGGUUCCAUAGUUUUGGAAUCUUCCAAGUUCGCCUGAUCAUCUGAAUUGAUUCUUUCCAUAAAAGUCUAUGAUCUCGACGAAUUGCUUCCCAUCACGAAAUCUUUCAGAUUUGAUCCCGCAUAUUUAUUAUGUUAGUUUGUCAUUAUUAAAAUAUUAGGUGAUUAUAGGAAGCUAACAAAAUUUAAACAAAGUAAUAUAACGAGUGAAGAUUUAUAAAAUAAACUCAAUUUAUUUGAAACUGAAGCAUAGUAAUUAUCACUGUUAUGGUUGCCCGAUCUAAUGUGAUUAAAUAAACUUAUUUACAAAUUGCAACCAAAAUAAAAAGUUUGUAUAAAAGAAAAGGAAGAACUUACGUACAAGUUAUUUAAAAUACAAAAACAUAAUGUGGUCAACAAAUUUAGUCAACAAUUCAACCAAAAAGAAUAUUACGGAGAUUAUUUUAAGAUUAAGACACCAAAAAAAAAAUAUUAUGUUGUCAGCAAAAUUCAGUCAACAAUUCAAUAGAAAUAACCUGUUAAAUAUAAUUGUACAUAAGAUAAUUAAUGAGAUUUAAAAAUUAAAAAAUCAUUAAUAGAAGAUAAAUUACAUAAAAUUAAAAGUUAAAUUGAUAACCUCAAAUGGGACACAAAAGGGGACACAUUCAUAUUUGUACUUUUAUAUAGGAAUCUUUUACCCAUUUACCAAAAAUAAUAAUAAUAAUAGUACAGUCUUCUUGUAUGAAUAAAAAUAAAGUACAAUAGUAACAAAUAUAAAAAAGUUAACACUAACUCAUGUGCUUCCAACUAUUGUUCCAUCUUUUCAUGCCCUGACCCCCCACCCCCACCCCCAAAAAAAUCCCCAAAACUCCAAACCCACUUGAAGUUAUUUUUAAAAUUGUUCGUUCAGUGUUCGAUAUUCACUUUGAGACUUUAACUCAUUUGAAUGUGUGUUGCUGAGGCCCAUCAAAGGAGAAAACACGGUCUUACAGAAGUCAAACUCGAGACUUUUGGUUAGUGGUGAGAUUUUAUCCAUCUCAAUACAACUUUUGAUAGUCAGUCAAAGGUUUUUUCUUGAUAUUUCCGUUAGUAUACCCCUUUAAUUUUCAAAUCAAGACUAUUUCCGAUUCAUGUAAGCACUCUUUAAAAGGAAAAACACUUCCAAUUUAGAUCAAUCCAAGACUUUCGAUUAAAAUUGAGGAAUUUUAUUUAUCCUAUCACAGCCCGAGGCUGACAUUUGAGGGUGUGAUCAUAAAGAAUCCUGGCCAUUGAUCAAGUAGGGUCCAAAAAGAGAUUAUAUUUUUAAUCAAUGGUUAGAGUGAUGUUUAGAGAUAAACCAAGAUAUAAUAGCCAAUCCUCAAACCAUGUGAUAAAAGUUGAAGUUACUCAAUACUUUAUAAUUAUUGAAAGGAUAUAGGGUUAUGAUAUGAUAGAAUAGAAGCACUAAUAGCUCACUAAAACCAAAAAAGGAUCUUUUGUUUAUUAAUGGACAAUAAUACCUAAGUGCAAAAUAAAUUAAUGAUAUAUCAUUAGAUUCUAAAAUAUUUAAAUUUAAAUUAGACAAUUACUGAAAUGUCAGACAACAAUUCUUAAACCAACAUAAAAUAACUCUAGAAAUGGACCAAGAAAAGAAUGGAACUAUUUAACACAAUUAAUUAAUAGUAUAUCAUUAGUGUAAGGAAUGUUAUAGACUAUCAAUUCCAUUUAGGUUCUAAAUUUAAUACAUGUACUUAAUGAUUUUUUAAAAUAUGAAUAGAUUGAAAAAAGUCCGUCAAGUGUACUAAAACUUCUGCUAUAUAUAUAGGUUCAGAAAAAAGUCGGACCACAACAAAUUAUUGUACGCACCUUUACACCUUGCAUUUCCACAAGAGGUUAUUCUACGGCUAAAAUUCGUGAACUCUUGAUCACAUGACAACAACGUUAGAAGUUACUCCAACGCUCCCCUUCAAAAUACAAAUAGAUUAUUUAAACAAAAGUUAUUGGAUGCAUUCAAAUUUGAAUUUAGACUUCAACUUUCGUCUUUUAAAAUUCUUAUAUUGACGGUAUAUAUAACUUAAACGCUCAUUACUUUAAGAAAAAAAAUAAGAAAGUUUAAGAUAUUCAAGAAAAUCUAAUUGUUUUCUAGCAAAAGAACAAGCAAAGAGUCCAAAAGAGAUGAAGUGAAAAGAUUUUACUAUUUUUUAUUUUCACUUUUAAAAAAAAAAAUAAAAAUAGAGCAAUUUUUUUACCAGCAGUUGUACCACAUGCCCAAAACCCCACCCUAAAUUCUACUAAGUUUUUAUAAUGUACACAACAUGUAAAAUAAAUACAAGAAUGUUGGCCAAAAAAGCAAAAUAAAAGAGUCUCGAAAGCUGAAAAUAAUAUCAUCAUACCUCUAAUAGGUCCCAAUGAGAAAAUUGGACCACAAUAGACUAAUGGAAUAAAGUGCAUAUACAUAUUAAUCAAUUUUUUUGCCCUACAAUCCCCCUCCCCGCAUACCCCCACACCACAAAAAUAAAAGUAAAGUCCAAAUUUGAAAUUUAUAUAUUCAGGAUUCUAGUCUUUUUAUGUUAUCGAAUCUAAAUUAAUAACCUAUAUAGAUUUAAUAGGAAUAAAAUUUGAAUCAAAAUUAUUAAAUACGAUCAAAACGUAGUCGAAAGCCUAGAUCAAACCCUUAAAUUCAGGGUUCUAAUCUUUUUAUGUUAUCAACUUUUAAAUUAAUAACCUAUAAAUACUUGAUAAAAGAAUUAAAAUAAAGAUAAAAGUUAGAACAAAAUUAUUGAGUUCUAUUAAAAUCGAAACUAAAAAUUAAGACUUAAUCCUGACCAAUCCACCCCAAAAAAAAUAAAAGAGUGCCUUAGAACUUUGGGCAUUAGGUAUUACUUUCCAAAGGAGUAGGAUAUAUAGUGACAUUUAGGGGCUCAAAGCAAAUAUGUGACUCUCCCAAGAAGGAAUUGAAUUAUCCAUUAAAAUACAUAGGAAAAUAUAGUUAAAUUUGUGUGCCAUUUUUGGGAAUUUGUAUCAAGAAAAUUAAAAAGACAAAUAAUGGGUUGUCUCUUAUUCUCUGGGUAAAUAAAAACUUUCUUUUAUCACUAAUAAAAAGCACUUGUCCAUGUUUAUGGAGGAUAUUAUUUGGAUUUGAGAUAAAUGAUUCUUGAUUAUUAUAAUUGAAAGUCAUUAACAAUGUAAGUAAAAUUUAGGAAUUAAUUUAUUUUAAAAUAUAUCUUCAUUUUUAUUAAUUAUUUUUAUGUUGCAUGUAUCAUAAUAUAUUUAUAAAGUUAUUAUUAUCUGUCAUUUGAUUUUAGAAAGGUGUGGCGAAUGCAAAUUAGCGUAAAAAAUUAGGUGGUGGAGUAAGUUCAUGCUUGUAGGUAGGAGUGUUGUCCUUAUUAUUAGUUGUAAUGCAAUGCUUGUAGUUUUAUGUUCUUUGAUUCUUAUUGAUAUAUGUUGUUUUAGGUAGAUCGCUUGUAAUAUUAUUUUUAUAUGGUAGUAUUGAUCUGAUAUUAUAUGUUAUUGUGUAAAUCCUUAUUAUCUUCUGUCCUCUUUGUCUUGAGCCGAGUGUCAAUCGAAAAUAGCUUUCCUAUCUAACUUCGGAAGUAGUGGUAUGGAAUGCGUACACUCUAUCCUCCUCAAACCCCAUUAUAUAGGAAUACUCUGCAUGUGUUGUUGUUUUUGUUAUUAUGCUCAUUUAUUUUAUUUAGAACAUCAUUAACUUAUAUGCUAAAUUAACGCUUUUCGCUUUUUUUUUGUCUAAAAAAAUAAUAUUUAUUUUUCUAAAUAAAAUUUACUAUAUAGAUUAAAGAAAAACAUUAUUUUAAAUAAGUAAAGAAAAACAAAUAUUAAUAGAGUACGGGUAAAGUAGACAUUUAAAAAAGAUAAAUAGGAUAGAGAAGGGAGAAUAACUAUUGUUCAAAAUUAAAAGAGGAAGUUUGAUUUUUAAAUCAAAAUUGAAGGGAGUAAAUGAUUUUCGCCCUAAUAUUUUUUUUAGUCGGUUAAAAAUAUUGACCUAUAUGUUGGGGUUUUUGCCCUGUUUUUCACCAAAAUUAAGUUUUUAAUUUUUUUAGAAGGAAAAUAAAAGUAAUCAUAAAUAAUAAAACUUUUUCAUAUUUGGCUAACCUCUUUCUUGGAGUAAUGGUUUUGGGCCUCUAUAAAUAUAAAACCCCCUUCUCAUACCAUAACUAAUAGCUUCCGCAUGACGUCCUCUCGAUUUCGAACCCUACAAUACCUAGUCGUAAGUAUACAAUAUCGUUAGUGUGUACUUAAUGUAUAAUAAGUAUAUAAUAACAAUGUGUACAUACACAUUAUAUGUUAAUUAUAAAAUGCAUAUUGGGUAAAAAAAUAAAAAAAGUAAAAAUUAGUGUAAAAUUUUCUUUAACUAUCAAACUUAAUGGUCAAGAGUAAAAGAUAAAGAAUGGGUACCUUGGUGAAUGUCAGCAUUAGUUUAUGUAUCCAUAAAUAACUAUUGAAAUGAUAAGUAUUUUGGAAUAAUUUGUUGGUUUUGAUGGAACAAUUCUGUUAUAUAUAUCGAUUAAAAAAAUAGACAUCUGAUAAAACAUUAGGACGCUAAAAUUGACUCAUACAUUAUUUUUGUUAGGAAAAAGGUAUCGUUUCCACCCCAAACUAUAUCCAAAAAGUCGAAAUCACACCUAAACUAUACUAGUGACCUAUUGCACACCUAAACUAUAAAAAUGUGAUACUAUUACCUCCCCGCGACACCCAUGUCUAGUUUUAAUGAGUGGAGUGUACUCCAUUCGCCCUGUGCUGAUGACAUGUGUUAAUUUAAUUUUUCUAUUUAAUUAAUAAAUAAUUCUUGUGAUUAAAAAUAAAUAAUCAAGAAAAUACAUUAAUUUAACAACUCUUUCUUCUUCACUCUUUCUCUACUUCAUUUUCCCUUCAAAUAACCAAGCAAUUUCAACAAGAAAAUUUUGAUUCCUUCUUCUUCACUCUUACUCUACUUCACUUUCCCUUCAAAUAACCAAGCAAAUUCAACAAGAAAAUUUCAAUGGAAGAAAAUAUUGAACAAUUCACCAUUAAAAAUAUGAAAUUGUUGAAUUGUUCAUUUAUUCUCCGUCCUUUUUCGCUUUGAGUUAAUGGAGGUGAAAGAUGUGGUUUCUGGAAACGCGUGAGUAACUGGGUAUUUUCAAAUUGGACGAUUUGAUGAGUUAAAAAUCACACCAUAGAUUGGAGAUGAAAGAUAUGGUACUCUCAUAAAUCUAUGGUGUAACAAAUCACACCAUAGAUUUCUUGGAAGACUUUGGGCUUUGGGUAUUCUCAGAUUCGUCAAUUAAUGGAGUAUUUGACAAAUUGAAUGUUGUAAUAUGGAGUGUUGUGAUUUCGGGUAUGCACAGUGGGAUUGACAGUUGUAAUUUCGAUGGCAAUUUUAUUGACGAUUUCAAACUAAGAUUUAAUUGCACAUAUUGUGAUUCCGAUCUCAAUGUUAGUAGUGGAUUUGAAUUUUUAUGGUGGUUGUUUGUGAUUUUUAUUAUAUUAAUGGUUGUAUUGUGAUUUUGAUAAUGAAAUUUGAAUUUUUAAAAUUAUUGUGGUGAAGUUUUGAAUUUGAUGAUUUAGCGUGGUGUUUUAAUGGUGAUUUUGUUGGAGAAGAAGCAAUUGAAGGCGGGACCCACAUAUUAAAAUAAUAAAUAAUAAAAUUUAAUUUUAUUAACAUUUUUUCAAUUAUAAAAAUAAAAAAAAUAAUUUUAUUAAUAUUUUUUCAAUUGCAAAAAUAAUUAAUCUAAUUGUAUAUAUUAAGAAGAAUAUUAGUAGUAUUUAAUGAUAUAAUGACAAAUGAAAUAGUAACACAUGUAUGGAAGCUGCCAUUUUAAGGUUUUUUUUCUUCUCUCACACACCUUAGAAAGGUAAAUACACCUUCUCUGCUACGUCACCUUCUAAGAUGGAAAUGGUAUCACUUAUUUAUAGUUUAGGUGUGUAAUAGGUCACUAGUAUAGUUUAAGUGUGAUUUCGACUUUUGAGUAUAGUUUGGGGUGGAAACGAUGUCUUUUCCCUAUGUUUAAGUGACUAUUUAUGCACAUCUAGAGUUAGAGGGCAUAAAUGUCAGCUGAGAUCAAGUUAAAAAACAUGUUUAUAUAUUAUGCCUUUAGAAAAAUAAGAAGAUGUGACCUUUUUUAUCCGCUCUGGUACGUAUCUAAAUUACAUAGUAAAUGUCACCUAAUUUGACAUGUAGGAUAACACAUGCAUCUCAUGCGGUUUGCCAUGCGGAUGGUGUGCAUCUAUUUAUUUAACUUUAUAUAAUAUCAAGGUUAGUAAUUCUUUAUGUUAUCUUUCUUUUGCUACUAUUAAUAUAAUUAUUAUUGGAUUUGAGGAAAAAAAUAAUUGGUUUGGACCAUUUAUAUUUUAAAUUUAUUCCUCAAAAGCAAUAUUAUCAAAAAGGAUGAUAAUAUGUUGGGUUUGAGUCCCAUCGAUUCAUGCCCAAGACGCAUUUAUAUGGAUAAGAUGUUGAGUUUGAAUCUAAAUACACCAUAUUGAUGAUAUUAUGAUGGCUAAGGCAAAAUAAUGGAUGUUUAAUGAAAAGUCAUGAAAUUCGACCCAUUGAAUAUGUUUCAUUCCAUGAAGUGAAUGUGAUAGCAAUAUAUGAUAAGUCUGAAAUAUGACAACUUACUUCAUUCUUGAGGUGUAUUUGGUAGCAGUGCAUAAUAUGUCUGAAAGAAGACAAGUGAUUAAAUGCAUGAACAUAGCGUGGAGGGACAAUAUGAUAAUGAUCAUAAAAAGUUGACGAUAUUUUCAUACGCUUAUAUGAUUAUAAGUUAUAGUAGAGAAGAACUCUCUACAUCAUAUCUAUGCCUCGAUUUGCUUCUGAAGUAGCAAAAUCUUGAAAGGGGUUAUAAGCUAACAUAAUUUGAUAGGCUUAAGGCACGAUUAUAUCCAAUUCCUGGGGAAUGAGAAACUCAUUAAUGCAAAUGUGCACUUGAUUGUGAUUGUAUCACAACUCACCUCUGAAAGAGGUUGACUAAUUUUGAAAUCUACUUCUGAAGUAGUAAAUCUAAAAUUUAUUCAUAUAAUAGUAAUCUAAAAUUUACUAAAGCAAAAACACAUAUCAUGGUAAACUUAGAGUUUACUAGAUUAAAAGUUCAUAAGUUGACAUGAACGAUUGUGAUAUCCCGAAGAUGUGCAUACUGAGUAUUGAACAUCUAUUGAAGAACUAGAAAAUUCUUCAUGAACAUUAAUGUUGCUUGUUCUCAUGAUAAGUUGGUUGGACCAACUAAUUUUAAGAUUGGAUCCCUCAAAAUCUGAAAAGAAUAAAAGGUGAAUAAGGGCCCGUUCACCUAUCAUGUGAUAUGUUGAAAAGAUGCAUCAAUAAGAUGAUCACAUGUACAUUCAUGGUCAACCUACGUUUGACAUUCAUAAAAUUACUUGUUCAAUAUAAAUUGAGCAUANNNNNNNNNNNNNNNNNNNNNNNNNNNNNNNNNNNNNNNNNNNNNNNNNNNNNNNNNNNNNNNNNNNNNNNNNNNNNNNNNNNNNNNNNNNNNNNNNNNNNNNNNNNNNNNNNNNNNNNNNNNNNNNNNNNNNNNNNNNNNNNNNNNNNNNNNNNNNNNNNNNNNNNNNNNNNNNNNNNNNNNNNNNNNNNNNNNNNNNNNNNNNNNNNNNNNNNNNNNNNNNNNNNNNNNNNNNNNNNNNNNNNNNNNNNNNNNNNNNNNNNNNNNNNNNNNNNNNNNNNNNNNNNNNNNNNNNNNNNNNNNNNNNNNNNNNNNNNNNNNNNNNNNNNNNNNNNNNNNNNNNNNNNNNNNNNNNNNNNNNNNNNNNNNNNNNNNNNNNNNNNNNNNNNNNNNNNNNNNNNNNNNNNNNNNNNNAGCACAAGUGCUCUUAUUUUGUGUUCCUAAAGGAUAGAGUCUAUGCAUGCGUGAAGCGUGGUAGACUAAUCGGUUCCAAAUAAAAUAGUCCUUGAAAAAUAAAGAGCAAAUAAUUAUAAUAAAAAGACAAUUAACUCUUGAAGAGCCUACGACAUAACACUUCAUGAAACCUUAUGUAGGGUUCAUGUGCCUGAAAAUAAUGAAGUAAUGAGAUCUCAAAAUAUUAUGUCGCAUUGUGAACCGAUAUGAAAUGAUAUAUCAUCAAUAUAUUUGACACAAUAUUGACGCAAUAUUGUGAAAGAUUACGAGGAUCUAAAUUCUACAUUUAUUUAAGCAUGCUGACGUAGAAACAUUUAUCAAGUGACAUGAAGGGAUGCAUCUUGGUAAGUGUAAAACUUAUUUGAUUUGCAGUCCAGAUAUUUAAAGAUGUCACUCAUGAAAUGUUGAAUAUUGUCACUUGACAAAACUUAUGUGAAAACUUCUAAGGAUUUAAACUGCUUGAAGCAUAUAAAAGUUUCUGAGAAACUUAUUUAUAAUCUUUAUAUUGUAUAAGCUUAUUGCUUGAACAUCAUUGGAACUCUUGGACAGUUUUAAAGCAAUAAAUUAUUUGCUGAAAUUCAAAAUAUAUCGAAUUUGAUUGGUUAUGAAGUACCAUAUCUUAGUGCGAUUGAUGCACUCAUGUACCUUGCAAAUACUACAAGGCCUAUAGCCUUUUCAAUCAAUUUGUUAGCAAGGUAUAUUUCUGCUCCUACAAUGAGACAUCAAAAUGAGAUAAAACACAUGACCUUGUUUUAUUCUAAAGAUUGCAGUCCCGGUCUUAUUGGUCAUGCUGAUGUUGGGUACUUAUCUGACCCGCAUACAACUCGAUCUCAAAUAGGCUAUGUGUUCAUAUGUGGUGGUACUGCCAUAUCUUGGAGAUAUACAAAGCAGUCUAUUAUAGCCACUUCAUCGAUGCUGAGAUAAUAACUAUUCAUAAAGCAAGCCGAGAAUAUGUAUGGUUGAGGUCCAUGAUACAUCUCAUUCGAAAAAAAUGUGGUGUGAAAUAUGACAAUCUACCCACAAUUUUAUAUAGAGAUAAUUCAGCAUACAUAGCACAUCUUAAGGGAGGAUUCAUAAAUGGAGAUAGAAUGAAACACAUUUUUGCCAAAGCUUUUCUACAUACAUGAGCUACAGAAGAAUGAUGAUAUUGACGUACAACAGAUUCGUUUAACUGAUAAUGUGACUGAUUUGAUCACCAAAUCUUCUCCAAUUGCAACUUUUAAUAAGAUGUUGCACAAGAUCGGGAUGCAAAAGUUCAAGGAUGUUCUCAUUAGGGGGAGCAAAUACACGCUGUACUUUUUUAAUGAGGCAACCUAUAUGCGUAUUGUUAGAGAUGUGUACUCUUUUUCUUUCACUAGAUUUUUUUCUCAUUGGAUUUUUUCUAGUAAGGUUUUAACGAGUCACAUUAUCUAUCUAGACAUUCAAGGAGGAGUGUUAUAAAUGUAUUUACAUUAUAGUGAAUGUCUAUCAAGAUCUAUCAAGAUCUACUUUAAUAUCUAUUAGGAUUUGAAGCUUCCGUCUUUUACUCAGACUAAGAGUAAAUUUUCCCUAUAAAUAGAGGGGUUUUGUUUAUUGUAUUUACAAUCUUAUGAUCUCUCAUCCCUCAAGAGAAAUAAGAACUACUCUCUCUAUUCUCUCUACUCUUCUUCUUUAUUCUUUCUUGUUUUAUAACAAUUUUUAUUUUUUGAAAAAUUUAAGUAGGUCUUUUAACAUAAAAUUAUAAGUAGCACUUAUCUAUUUACAUCAACUUUUUUGUAAUAUCAAGCAAAUUCAAUUUUACUACAAGAUUCAGUGACCUAACUUAGAGCCCGUUUGGUCAUGAAAUUUUUUUCUUUUUUCUGAAAAAAAAUUUCAGAGUUAAAAAUUGUGGUAUUUGGCCAUGAAAAUUUGAAAAAUAAUUUCAAAAUUUUUUUCUGAAAAGGAAAAACAGGUUUUUGGUGUUUUCAUAAUUUUUCAACUCCAAUUCCAACUUUUAUUAUGAUUACUUAUAACUCCAAUGUUUUAAAUUUUUACAUAAAACUCUCCUUAUAACAUUACUUUUUCAAUAUCAUGUAUAUAGCAGUUUUAAAGAAUAAGAUAAUUAUAAUUUCAAACUUAAUGCUAUCCUAAUUAAUAUAUAUCUCUUUUUCUCUCUCGUCAUUAUUUUUGUCCCUUAUUUAAUUUUCUCCCUUAUAUUAUUUUACUGGUAAUGAUCGUAAUUACUAUAAUAUAAUAACAAUAAUAAUUUUUCUAUUGUGAUACGAACAUUUAAGGAAUUAUAGUCGUGUAAUUAAUAAUGGAUAAUCGUUUUCUAUAUUUAUGGAAUUAAUAAAGUUGUAGUAGAUUAGUUUACCACUGCCACAAAUUAUUCUCAUUUUUAAUUUGAUUAUAUAUAUUAUUUUGGGUACAUCUUUAUUAUACUAUUCAAAUAUAAAUAGUUUAUACCAUAUAUAUGGUAAAAAUAUAAAUCGAUGAUACAUACUUUUCAUAAAAAAAAUAUGUCCAAUUUAACAGAAAUAUACAAAGUGUGUUGUAUAUAAAGUUUAUACCAUGUAUAUAUAUCAUAUACACACAUAUAUAAAUAUACAAAGUAUUAAGAAACAUACUAAGCAUAUUUAUAUAUUUAUGGUAUAAUAUGAUAUAAUAUACCGUAAAUAUGCAAAGUAUGUUUUAUAUAGAAAUAAUUUAUUCACAUACAGUAAAAUCUUUCAUGUAUAAGAAAAUUACAGAAAUAAAUUAGCGGCACCCUUAAAUUUAAUAACAACUCAUCAUUUCCUAUCUUUUAGGAACGAAAAAUAAAGAAAAUAAAUUAAAUAAAUUCCUAAAAAAAUAAAUUUGUUUGAAAGAUAAUAUUUGUUACCUAAAAAAUAGGAAGCAGAGAUCUGUUAAUAUAACAUCCAUAUUUAAAAUUUUCAAAUAUGAGAAAACGGCUAUUAAUGUAAAUAUUAAAAAUGUCAUAAUUGAAAUUCAUUAAAUAUGGUCAUGUAUAUGUAAAUAUUUUUAUAAAAGUGGCUAAUUGUGUUCUUUUUCCAUUAGUAGGUAAAUUUUAGUUGGGUGAUUUUGAUAGUUUGUAAAAGUUAGGGCAUAAAAUCAUAUUUUAAAAAGUUUUUUUUUUCAAAAAAAAAAACAUGGUCAAACACAACUUUAACUCCAAUUUCAAGUCCAACUUCAACUCCAACUCCAGAAAAUUUUAGUUUUCAUUGCCAAACGGCUACUUAAUUUUUUUAAUUGUGAACUUUGCCUAUUGAUUGGAUAAAAGAUGUAAAAUUAAAAAAUAAGUUCUUCAUGGACUAAGGACCCGUUUGAAUAGGCUGAAAAAAGUGGCUUUUAAAAAAAAAUUUUAAAGUGUUUUUGAAAGUGCUGAUUUAUUUUAAAAAUAAACAAUUACAUGUUUGGAUAAAAGUUUUGAAACUGAAAAAAAAAUUACUAUUGAUGUGUUUGGUAAACAAGUACUUUUAAGCACUUUUUUAGAUCAAAAUAUCUAAAAUAACCUUAAAGUUGUUAACAAUAUAUAGAGUUGAUUAUUAUUAAUUUUCAUUAAUUACUAUUAAUUUGUGCGCUAAAAAACUUCUUUUCUUAAAAGAAUUUAAAUCAUUAAGCAAAAUAUAUAUGUUACUAGUCAUUAUAAUUACAUUAAUAGAUAAAUAGUUGGUCACAAAUGAUACUAUUUGUUUGAUAAAAAGAUUCUUAAUUCGAAAAUAUAUUACUCGUUGAUUGAGUAAUGACUAUUACUAUUAAAAUAUUGGCGAAUACGAAUAUUGCGUCAUGAAAUAAAGUUGGAUCAUUCACUAAUCAUCCACGAAGUUGUAUAUCUUCAAUGAGUAAUUUUGGACUACACAAGAGUAAUUUUGCAAUAAGGGAGAAUUUUAAGGAAUAAAAAUAUCUUUUAGUUGGUUAAACUACAAUGGCUUAAAAGACAAAAAAAAAAAAAAAAAAAGUUUGGAAUUGAAUCUUUUAAUUUUGGGCUUAUAAAAAGCAAAUUUUAAUAUUUUUAAGCAAUUUUAACUUUUUGUAGAAGCAGUUUGGAACGUAUGUUUAUUAGACUUAAGCGAUGUACGUUAAAAUAUCUUACAAAAAUCAAAGUGUUCCUUUCUUUUACAACUUUAACAAACAAAUAAAUCGAUUUCCUGGCUUAUAAAGGCACCAUAUGUCGGAAUUUAACUCGUCAAUAAUAUUUUUAUUGGGAUUUGUCAUCAAUCCCUUAUCAAUGAGUCAAAUUUCAAUGAAACGUUUGUCUAAAAUUAGUGACUUUUUAAUAAUUUAUGUAAAAAAAAUAAAAAGCGUACACUUUUUAAUGGAUUUUAAAAACUAAAAUACUUAGAAGUUUAUAUAAGAAAAUAUUUCGAACCUGCCAAACAAACAAGUGAUAAUUUUUGUUAAUUUAUCACAAAUAAGUAGGGUGGCGCAUGGUAUGGUAUUUGAAAUUUCAGUACGGUAAUUUCGGUAUUCGGUUUUUAAAAUCAUUAUAUCAUUAUCAUACCAUAUUAAUUCGGUAUGGUUCGUUAUUUUGACGUUUGAUUCAAUAUUUUACGGUAUGAUAAUCGGUAACCUUAGUUUGUACAACUUCGACAAUAUAUACUCGUAUACUAGAGUAUUAUUACAUCGAAUUUUCAAAAGCACGUCUAAAUUGUAUCAUAAAUACACAAUGAACAUGUAGAAAUAUUGAAAAAGAAGUACAAACAAUUCUUUUUGUUAGUCAAUUACAUAAAAAAGACAUUUCAAUUAUGAUUGAAUAGCGAAAGUUUCAAUGUCUAAACAUUUUUAUACUAAUACUAAGUAUUAUGUGUGUGUGUAUAAAAGUUACUUAUGUAACUGUAUAUACUUCGGUAUGAUAUUCGGUAUGUCAUUUGUAAAUACCGAAUACCAUCAUAUACCAAAAAAAUUUAAAAUGUAUACCAUAUAUCAUACCAAAUACUAUAAUACUAAAACUACGGUAUCAAAAAUUUCGAUUCGAUAUGAUAAUUCGAUAUAUACCAUACCAUGCUCACCCUACAAAUAAGUAAAUAAUAUGAAUAUGAGAUGCAUAAACCUACUAAUGUAUCUCAUACUUGAAAAAACAUAAUUAUAAUACAAAGUAGCUAGGCAAUUAAUUCUAUAAUUUUUCUUCAUUGUUAGGUAACCAUGAUCUGCCUAGUAAACAAUUAAAUAUAAAAUUUUACUGUUUCUAAGUAAACUUGAUAUAAUUUCUAUACGUAUAAAGUACAACUUCCCAUAUAAAUAAUUAUUUCACAAUACGUAAAUAAAUAUAACUUCCUACCUAAAUCUUAAAUUAAUAUUAUAGUGGCACAAGCAUGCUUAUACUAUAGUCAAUACAUAAUUAUUCAAUUUGAUAGAUUGCAAAUCUACCAAAUCAAUAUUUUAAAUAAAAAUUUAUUGAGUUUUAUACUAUAUAUACUAAGUGUUAUCAUCACUACUACAAAAAUAAAAUAAAUUCAAGUUGACCUGAAUAUUUUGAAAAAAUUAUAUAAAAAUGCAUAUCUAGACCGAGAUGCUUACAUUUGUUCAAAUUAGUUAGACCUUUGUUUUCUUCGGUCACAAUUUUUUAAUAAAAUAAUUUAAUUACUUAAUCAAAAUUAUAAGGGAAUAUUAGUUGCAGCCCAAAAGUUAUUUAUUCUUCUUUUUUCAGAAUUCAAAAUUCAAUAUCCCAAGAAUAUAGGAUUUAAUCAAAAGGUACAGUAAUUGAUACAAUAAUGAUGGAAUUUGAGUUUACAUUUGAGUACUCUACAUAACUUUAGCACAAUUUUUUAUUUUUUAUUUCAAAAAAUGAUAAUCAAUUUUAAUAUAAUUUGAUACUUCAUGGAAUAAAAAUUAACAGUUCGAUAUAUGACACUGAUAUUAUCAUGAGAUAUAUCAUAUAUAGGAGGACAAAUACAAUAACAUGAUAUUCAACUUCAAUGCUAGAAAGAUCUACUAUAUGUUGCUUUCAUGAGGAAUUAUUAUUUAGAUUAGGACCAUUAUAUACAACAAAGUCAUCGAAAAUCGACGAUCAAAAUAGUCUAUCUUGCACCACAAUAGACAUGCACAAUGAGAAAAAGUGAAUGGUUUAAUAAAUAGAUCAUGUAUAAAGGUGUCCUUGCGAUAGUGAAAAAUACGUUUCAUUGCUUUUAUUCAAGGAACAGUUUUAUAAAUAUGCGUGCUUUGCACGUGUGUCUCGUGUUAAUUAAUAAUAAUUUUUUAUAAAAAAAUAAAUUAUUGUGUGUAUGUUAGAGUACUAAGUAAACAACUUUUUUAAAAAAAACAUAAAUUUUUUUGAGAUAAAAACUAUACUUAAAGAAAAAUAUGAUAACUCAUCACCACAUUUUUUCUCAAAAAUCACUUUAACCUAUUUUUGUUUCGUAUCAUAUUGUCACAAAAAAGAAUGAUUCUCAAUUUAUAAAAAUUCAAAUUCAAAAAUUUUUCCUUCAAAGAAACACACCAAACUAAGAAAAUUUUUAUUUUUCUUUCAUAAAUUAUUUAACAUAUUAUUUCAAAUAAACCUAAACACUUAAUUUUAAACUAUUGAUGUGACUAAAUAUUUUAAAGUAAUUAUAAUACAACUUUAGUUCAUUCCAGUUUAUUUUUUGUCAUCUUUACUAUUUAAGACUUUCCAUAUAUUACUUUUUUUUUAAUUUAUGUGUUCUACUAUAAUUAAUUUUACAAUACGCUUUAAGGAAUUAGUAAUACCCCUUUUUCGUACACAAACAAAUUAUUAAAAUAACAAUUUUAUUUUUCUGAGCUAAAGUAAUUAUUUUCCAACUAUCAUAUAUUUUAGGAUUCUUUAAUUAUUAAUCAUAGAAAAAAUCAUAAAGUCAUAGUGUAACAAUAUAAAAUUUAUAGAAAAUAUACAUGAAAAAAUAUUUGGAUAUAAAUCUUUGAGAAACUACAUAUAUUCCUACAACACAAAUGGAAAAAAAAGGAAGAAAGAAAUUUAUUAUCAAUAGAAAAAUCGAGAAAGAUGAAGAAUAAUACACAUAUUUAUUCUUUAAUUUUUAUUUACAUCAUCAAGAAACACAAAAAAUCUUGAACGACAAAAUCAAGAUUUAGAAUUCUUUAAUCAUAAAUCAUAAAAAAUCAUAAAGUGAUAGCCUAAUUGUGCAAAAUUUAUAGAAAAUAUAACUGAAGUACCCGAUUAUAAACUGUUGAAAUGCAUAUUCCCACAACACAAAAUAGAAGAAAAAAAAAUAGAGAAAGAUGAAGAAUAAUACAAAUAUUUAUUAUUUAAUUUUUCUUUAUAUUAUCAAGAAACAAAGAAAUCUUAAACGAUGAUAACAAAGAGAAAUUAUAAAAACAUAAUUUGUAAUAAAUUAAAUUUAAAUAUGACUGAUAUAAAGAAAACUGUAAUAUUAGGAGAAUAAUAUCUCUACAUUGAUGUGAAAGGAAUAAUAAUCAAUUUAUAGAAGUUCAAAUUCUUUUCUUAUAAGAAAAGGAUUCUUUAAAUAACGAAAAAAAUUAUUUUUUUCUUUUGGAAAAGUAACAAUCAAUUAUGUUAUUAAAUUAUUUAAGGUACUAUAUUAUGUUUCUAACUAAAUAAAUUAUUUAGGGUAGCUUUUUUUUUCCUUUUAGGAUCAUAACGUGAAAAGGGAGAGAUUGCCAUAUAUUAUAUUAUAUUUUAAUAUAUUUUAGGAAUCUUUAGCUUUAUAUAUUUUAGGAAUUAAUAUUAUAAAUAUAAUUAUAUAAUAAAUUAAUGAUGUAAAAAUAUAAUUUUAUUUAUUGCAGAGACUUUUGAUGAAGGGCAAAAAGUUCAAAUCACUUUUAUAAAAUUUUCAUAAUUUUAAUAUAUUAUUAUUAUUAUAUUAUUAUAUAGAUAUUAAGAGGUAAAGACAAUGCUUCCAUCUAGUGAUGGAUCAUGAAAUGUUUCAACAUAUUUAAUCAACCUUAUCUAACUAUUUAUCGGAGAGUAAGUAGAUUUUUAAUAUAAUCCAUCAAUUAUUAUAAUUCUCGUAGAACUUAUCUCUAAAUCAAACGACCUUAUGAUUAAUUUAUACAAGAGGAUAGUAUUUCAUUUUAUUUUUUUCAUUUUUAUUUUAGUCCACAUUUUUCUUUUUCUCUUAAUUUUAUUUUUAUUUUCAUAUUUAAUUUAUAAAUUAAUGAAAUAAUCAUUAGCAAUAAAGUUCAAGGGUGUGUCUACGAAGGAAACAUUUUUCAGAAAAUAUUUUCUAGUUUUCUUAUGUUUGGUUGGCUUAUAUAUUUUGGAAAAUGUUUUCCAAACCAAUUUAUUUUCCUUAAAUCUAAGGAAAAUGACUUCUCUUAAAAAAAUAAGAAAAACAUUUUUUAAAACUCUCUUUUAACCUUACUUUAAAGUUGAAAUGUUCAUACAAUUCUCAAAAUCAUCAAUCCCGCCCCCAAUACCCUAUCACCCCGACACCACCCCUACCCCCACCCCUUCCCCCCCCUUACCCUAACUCCCACCCCAUCCCCNNNNNNNNNNNNNNNNNNNNNNNNNNNNNNNNNNNNNNNNNNNNNNNNNNNNNNNNNNNNNNNNNNNNNNNNNNNNNNNNNNNNNNNNNNNNNNNNNNNNNNNNNNNNNNNNNNNNNNNNNNNNNNNNNNNNNNNNNNNNNNNNNNNNNNNNNNNNNNNNNNNNNNNNNNNNNNNNUUAAUAAAAAAAAUUUAAUUUUUUUUACCCCACCCCUACUAUCUAUUCUGACACUCCAACCCACUGGCCUACCAACCCCCUUCCAAAAAAGAAUUAAAAUUUUUAAUUUAUUUUUUUAAAAAUGGAUUCUAAAAUGUAUUUUUACGUUUUAGCUAAUUAUUAAAAUGCAUUUUUUAAAAAAUAUUUUUUUCAUUCGCCAACUAAAUAUUAGAAAAUAUUUUUUUAAAAAUAUUUUUUAUCCACCAACCAAAGAUAAAAAAACAAGUAAGAAAUCAACUUAUUUUUCAGGAAAACAUUUUCUAGAAAAAUAUUUUCCAUGAAAAACAUUUUCCUUACAAACACAACCCAAAUUCAAAAAAUAAAAUAAAAAUAGUGACAAAGAAUUGGCGUCAUUAUCAGUGGCAAUAAGUGCAAAACUAGUCAACGUGAAGGGUAAAUAUGUAAUAUGUCAUCCUGACAACAAUUCCCACUAUGGGCAAAACUCCCUUUGCUGACUACAAUUUCUGAGUAAUUUCUGACUUUCCAAUUAAAAAUAUAAAUUCAAAAAAAUAUUAAAAUAAAUAAAUACUAAUAUAUUAAAUUAAAUAAUAAAAAGAAAUGAGACAAAGUACAAAACUUAAGGGGUCCCUAGAUACAUUGCCCCCACUGAAAAGUAGGUUGCUUUACAAAUAAUCCACCUCUUUUCAAUAGAAAAAUAAUAAUAAUAAAGUAUUACUACUACUAUUAUGUACUUUAAACAAUAUUUUUCCAACAAAAAACAACCUUUAAAAAAUGUAAAAAGCUAAAAGGAAAUCAAGAUUUUACUUUUCUUGUUUAGGAAUAAAAGAUUAUAUACUAGCUACUACAUGAUUAUCCAACAAUAGCAAUACAUAUAAUGUAAUUUCAUAAAUAUCGAUAUGAGAGAUUAGUGUGUACGCACUUUUAUUUGAAUAAAAAUAAUAUAAAAAGAUAAUUUGAUCGUGGAAAAUUCAUUAGCAACAACGAAUAAUAUAUAUAUAUAUAUAUAUAUAUCUUAACAAUUCUCCAUCAAAUGUGACUUUUAAUGCGUAUCUUGAUCUUCUUUAGAUUUUAUAACUUGAGUUGUUUUUCUAAGGCUCCUAAGGAAGAAGAAAACUAAUCUAUUAGAAUAGUUUUUAAAACUUUUUAUGUUAUGAUUGUAAAACCUAAUUUUUAUUUUGGUUUCCCAAAAUCAAUUUCGAUAUUCCUUUAAUACUGAUCGUACAAGCUUCAUAUUAAAAGUAUACACUAUUCAUGAUUUUAAAAUUCCCUAUAGGUACUGCGUAAUACAAUAUGUAUGAAUGUAUAAGGUAGAUAUGAAAACUAUUUUUUCCUAUGCUAAUAAGUUCAUGAGACUAUAGAGUAUAUUCAUGUACCUUCCGUUUUUCCUUUACGUUGGUUGUAUCAACACCGCAUUAUUUCUCCUUCCGGCUAUGAAAAACUCCUCUAGCCUUUUUUGUCUACUGUUAUAUAUAUAGAGAGAGAUAUUUGUUAGUACUCUAUCGAUUAUUGAAUUUAAAUUAUGACAAUAUAACUUUGAACGCAAUAAAAAGGAUAAUGUGCUAAUAUUGUUCUUUGAAUUUUCUUUCAGAUUCUAUGAGUAAUUGAAUAUACAUGAUUAAUUAUAUCCUUUAUUUAACUUUAAGAGGUGAAUAUUCUUCAUAAUCAUUCUCGUAAUAAAUAGUGUUAAUACCUAUUUAUUGCGAGGUUGUUUGUGAUAUAUCAUUAAUAUCAUAUAUUUAGUGAAAUUUCACAAAAUGAGGUAUGAAGAGGUUAGAGUAUACAUAAAUCUUUUGAAAUCAUUAUGUCGUGGAGGCAGAGAGGAUGUUUCCGAAGACCCACGAUUCAAGUACAACAAAUUUAGAUACAAAAAAGAAGAAAACAAUGAAGAAAAUAGCAACUAACAAGGAAAUAAUGGUCUACAAGAAAGAAAUAAUAACAAUAACAAAAUACUGUGGUAAUCGAAAAACAAAAAUUACAUAUUGUAAUUAUUGAUAUCACAAGCAGAGAGCGGCUCCACCUCAAUAUUCACGGCUAAACUCUAAAUUACUAUACAAUGUGCAACUUGUGCACAAUAAGCACUAAACCAAGACAACACUAAUACUCAAUUAACCUUCUAUUCUAAUAUGCGUCUUCUACACCGUUCUAUCUAAGGUUGUGAUAUAAAUUUUGAUUACAAUAUCUAAAGCAAAUAUAGUAAUAAAAUAAUCAAAUAUAAUUUUAGAACAGUGUUUAUUAUGCUGAUAUAAGAGGAUAUUGAAAACAAUCUCUCUUCCUCAUUCCUACGAUAAAGGUAAGUUUUACAUACAUUUUUAUUCCCCCAACACUUUAUUUGGUAGGACUAAAUUAAAUAUGGCGUUGUUGUUGAGAAGAGCGAGCAAAACAAUACUCAAAUUAGAAUCAUGCUCUACCAUAAUAAAGACGGAAAUUGUUCGACUAUCGACUAACAUUCUACUCAGGAGCAAAAGACAUAUAAUGACUUACUUAGUCAUUUUUUUUUCAAUUCUUCCUCGAUCAAUCUUUAUCUCUCCUUAAAUUUGUCGCGACCAAUCUCUUGCACCUUUCUACUAAGGUAUUUGUGCUCCUCCUCUUUGCAUUUCCAGAUAUUCUUACCUUCCUUUCUUUCAUCUUACAGCAUAUAUAUCACUUCCAUUUGACUAUAUCGUUAUAUUUAAUCUUACCUCUCCUAAUACGUUCACACAUCUAUCUUAACGUUCUUAAUUUUUGUAUAAAAAAUUUAAAAUAAAUUUAUAUUUUAAUAUAAAUACAUCACUUUCUUAAUUAAUGAUUGGUCAUAAGUUUUUUUUUUUUUUCAGUUGUAAGAUGAAGCAAAUUCCAAGAUUCUUUUUGUGUAGUCCCAAUGCACAAAACACAAAAGCAUUGAGCCUCCUAAAUUGAAAAGCCGACAAGAAACUCCCAUAGUGCCAAAAUUACCCUUAAUUCUCAACCAUUACACAAAUAAAAUUACACAAUUUUUUUUAUCGCAUGUUUGGUAUCCGCAUUGAACCCCAAUUAAUUCGGACCGUACAUUACAUGAUACAUUAAGAUAGUAACACUUUCAACAGAAUUUUCUCCAUAUUCAGGAUUAAAUCUUCAAUCUUUGAUUAAGAAUGGAGCAGUCUUAUUCAUUACGUCACAACCCAUACUAAUUAUACAAAUCUUUCACUAAUAUGCAUACCAAUUGCAGAAAUAUUUAGCGGAAGUGAUUGGACAUGACAUAUAUGCGUACAAAUUUAUUAUAGACAUGAUAUUAAUUAAAAAGAUGUAAAAUAGUAAGAAGGAAUUCGUCCUAGUAGAUAAGAGUAUUUUAUUAUAUUGUCUUAUACUAGUAGUCAUGUGCAUCGAUGUUUGUCAUUUCAGAUAAACCAAUUGUAAUACUUCUUCCGAAUUAUGAUAAAUGAAUUGUUAAAUUUUGAUAUACAUAUUAAGAAAAAAAUAUUAAAGACAUAAAUCUAACAUAACUUUUCAUUUUUAACCUUCAAAAGAAGAAGAAAAAGUUAACCUUAUAAUAUCUUUUCAAAAGUUAAUUAAUUGUCAAAUAAUAAGGGCAAAUUUAAAAAAAAAUUCAAUGAUUCAUUUAUUUUGAAAUACCAAUAAAUAUCUUAAUAAUUAAUUUAUUUCAAAACGGAGAGAGUAAUAUUUAGUGAUAGUUUUAUUUCUAUCACUUUGUUACUAAUUCUUCUUUUAUAUUCUUUUCUAGAUUAUUUUUAUUAUGAAUUAAAGAUUUAUUAAAAAUAUUUUUUUAAUUUUAUUUUUGAAGUAGAGAUAUGAAUUAUGUUUAAUUUAUUCCUUCCAAAUUUACUUUAUAGAAUACAUUAGAUAUAUUAUUGUAAUAGUAUUUCGUGAUAGUUUUGUUUCUAUUGCUUUGUUAUUAAUUUUUCUAUUGCAUAUUAUUCUAGAUUGAAAAUUUAUUGAAGAAAAUCUUUCUACUUUAAUUUUUAGAUAGAAAUACUAAUUACGUAUACUUUAUUCACACUUGAGUAUGUUGUCGUGGUUAAUCAUUAGCGCAUUUUAGCAAAUCCCAAUCAGACAUAAGCGCAAGGUAGCACACUCCCCACCACUAUUUUUACCCCCUUCCUUCCCUGUCUGCUACUUCUCCUUCCGGUAAUGAAAAACACAGAGCAAAAACACUAACAACAGCAGCUUCUUCUCUCAACUACCCACUUCACAAAAACACACAAUACACACAGUGAUUACACUUCAAAACACCAUAAAAGAUUCCAGCUUUUAUCUCCCACCAAUAAAUCAAGAAUCAAGAAAACUCAAAAAGCUUCAAUCUUUACUCCCUUUAGUCACUCAAGAUUCAUAUAUUUGCUCAAAUUUUUUCUUGGGGUUUUGUUAAAAAUGGAGAAAGUUGUAGUUGCAGUUUAAAACACCAAAAGGAUUCCAUUUUUACCCCUCACCAGGAACCAAGAAAAGUGAAAAAGCUUCAAUCUUUACUCUCUUUAGUCACUCAAGAUUCAUAUAUUUGCUAAAAAAUUUAUUGGGGUUUUGUCAAAAAUGGAAAAAUUGUAGUUGUUGUGAGCUUCUCAUUUCUCAAAAACACACAAUACACACAGUGAUUACACUUUAGAACACCAUAAAGAUUCCAUUUUUACACCCCAAGAACCAAGAAAAGUGAAAAAGCUUUGAUCUUUACUCUCUUUAGUCACUCAAGAUUCAUAUAUUUGUUCAAAAAUUUGUUGGGUUUUUGUUGUUAUUGCCAAGAGUAAUGGAGAAAAUUGUAGUUGUUGUUAACUGUGAGCUUAAAGCUUGUGGUAUAGUGUAGUUUUCUCCAAAGGGUAUUUUUGUCCAGAAAAAAAAUCCUUUUUUUUUUCUUCUUUCACUUUACUUUUUUUUCUCUACUCAAUGGGUUACAAGCAAAAAUCCAAAUCAAUAGAAAAUUUGGAUCCUGUUAGAAAAAGAAGUGGUGGAUUGAGAACUAAACAAGCAGGGAGAGGGUCUUGCAGGGGGAGUUAGUUUAUUGAAUUAGUAAUUUUUAGCUGAAAAAACAAAAAAGAUAAGCAAAUUUGAAAGAGAAAAAAUGGGUUAUUUGUUGAAAGAGGUUUUAAAGACUCUUUGUGGAGUUAAUCAAUGGUCUUAUGCUGUUUACUGGAAGAUUGGUUGCCAGAAUACCAAGUGAGUUUUUGUUUCUUUUUUAAUAAAAUGAAAUUCUUGUUUUUAUUUUUUAAAUUUUCAUCUAGUAUGUUGUUGUUGUCAUGUGGUUGUUAAAUGUAAUAGUAUUGACUUGUGGCUUGAGUUGAAUUUUAUGUGAUAGUUUUGUUUUAUGGAAGUGAAAAGAAAGUGAUCUUGGCUUGUGGGUUGAUUUCAAGAUUUCAUGUGAAUGCUUAUUUUAGUUUUUUCAUAUGGGUGGAAGUUAGAAAAAUGUAAUCUUGGCUUGUGGAUUUACAGACAUUGAGUUCAUUUUCAUGUGAAUCCUUGUUUUAGUUUUCUCAUGUGUGUGAAACUUUAAAAAUAUAAUAUUGGCUUGUGGAUUUAGACAUUGAGUUCAUUUUUAUGUUUUCUUUUUUGAUUUUUUUUUUCAUGUUGGGUGUAGUUUUAUUUUAUUCUUUUAUAAUGGAACAAAAAGAAAAUGAGAGUAGAUAAAAGAGAUACUCCUAUAAUCUCGCUUAUGGUUUGAGUUUAGACUUUAGAUUUUUAUGAAUAUUUUACUUUUUGGGCAAAAUGGAGACAAAAUAUAGGAGUAUAUGUUUUUUUUUUUGUUUAUUAUGUGGCAUUUGUUUAUCAUCUUUUCAUUUUUCUUGUUGUUCUGGUUUCUGUUUUGGAUUUUGUGCUGACAACAGUUCUCUGUUUGCUGAGAAAAUGGAGGACAAAUGAAAGUAAUAAACUGAAAAAAGUGUUAAAGUCUGAUGGUCCUUUUGUUGUUCAGCACUUCAGCUGCUGUAAUACUGUGAACUGAGUUUCACUGAUUCUAUAAUGUUUCAGUUCUUUUUUUUUUUGACUAAACAAAACUGCUAUCUUUCUUAAUGUAUAGCAGAAUACUAUGCUAAUUGAACUGGGUAUUGAAAGCUUUUUAAUAUUUUUAUUGUUAUGUCUUGUUAUGUAGUUCUUGUCCUUCGAUUAUUGUUACUAUUUGUUUUUUCUUGUACUUCGGCUAUUUUAUUAUUUUAUUGUAUUUACAAUCUACUCUCUGUUGUUUUUGUUGAUAUUUGCUUUUUCUUGUACUUCUCUCACUUUCUUUUUCUGGACUAUCCCCUUCAACUGAGGGUCUACGGGAAACAGCCUCUCUACUGCUAAUGUAGGGGUAAGGUGCGUAUACGCUCUGCCGUCCACAGAUCUCACUUUGUGGAAUUAUACCGUAUAUGUUUUUGUUGUUGUUGUUUAUUGAUUUGACAUGCCAUGGUUGUGUUUUUGCUUUUCCUUAUGUUUUCUGGAAACUGUCAUUUUCUGCUUUUGGAAUGUUGUGGCUUGUUCCAGUUCAUUUUGUCUUGAAGAAUCUUAUUGGAAUGAAUGAAAAGAAAAAAAAUAUAAGUGACUUGUUUGUUUGAAUAUCAUGAAACUCUUUAUACUGUUAUGAUUUCCCUGUAGAGAACAAUACUCAUUACAGAUUUCUCCUUUCUUGUUUGAUUCUAUGUGUUGUUAUUAUCCAAUUUCUUGUCUCUUCUUCUUUAUUUUACAUACACUUCUCCAGUAAUCUUGUUAAUAGGAACACAUAGAACUGUCACUUUCUAUUAAUAUUAAUAAACUGAAUCUUGGCUUAUAUGCUGGUAUUUUUUAAUUCCUUUACUCAAUUUUUUCAAAUGAUUAUUUAACUUUUUUUUUUCUUUUACUGAUUCUCACAGGCUUUUAAUUUGGGAAGAAUCCUAUUAUGAACCUUUAACAUUCUCCGGAAUUCAUCGCAUUUCGGGGGUUGAGAAUCCGGAACUAUCGUUCCAUGAUUGGGACGCUUGCUGGGGUUCGGGGGAGGUCCGUAUGCAUCAAGCAGGGGAGAGAGUGCACUUGCUUGUAAACAAAAUGAUGAUGGAAAGUCAAAUCAAUCUAGUAGGAGAAGGGUAUAAUAUCUUAUCUUUUAUUAUAUUGAUUCUUUUUCUUUUAAAAACGAAUAUUGAAAAGAUCUUGUUUAUGUAUACCAUGUCUUUGAUAUUUGUCGUUUUACUUCUCAGACUAGUCGGUCGGGCUGCAGUUACUGGGUGUCAUCAGUGGUUUCAUUCAGAGGAUUUUAGUAGAGUAGUUCAUCCACCUGAGGUACAUGUUAAUGUAUUACAUAAGUUUCAUGAUUUAUGCUCUCUCAACCGCAUUUAGAAAUUUGAAUAGCUGCCCGUUGCGAUAAUCAGUUGUGUGGCUAAAAUUUGAUAGUUUUACGAUUGAACUACAUUUGGUCAAGGUUAAACACUAACUAUAUACUCUCUUCGUUUCAAUUUAUUUGUCUGGUUUUGGCUUGACACUGAGCUUAAGAUAGUAGUGAUAAGACUUUUAGAUCUUGUGUUCUUAAACUAAAGAUAUGUAGAAUGUAUCUAAACUAACUUUAUUCUUGUGGUCGUAAACAUGCCAUGUGGAAAGUUGAACAAAUUGAAACCGAGGGAGUAUUCUUUUUUUGUUUUUGUGUGUGGGGGGUGGGGGUGGGUGGGGGGUUCUUUCUCUUUUCAAAAGGUUAACGACAAACUCAAACUAUGUUAAUACUAAAUCUUGUAACACUAAGAUGUAACGGUAUUUUGUGUCCUGGAUGAAGCAACUGAUACUUAUUGGUCUAUCCAUAUGAUGUGGUUCUUUCAGGUCCUGAAGGGGCUCACUGAACAGUUUUCUGCUGGCAUCCAGGUACAAUGUCUUUGAGUUUAACGUAUAUCCUAUGUGUGUUUUUCUUUUGCUGCUUACUGAUUCUUUAUAUAUUGUUGAUAUGUGUAGACAAUUGCAGUUGUUCCUGUUCUUCCUCACGGUGUCGUCCAAUUCGGAUCAUGCUUGAAUGUAAGUCUAUUUUUCUUCUCCAUUUGAAAAUCUUCCGUGGUGACAAAUAGACUAGGGGUACUAUGACAUUUGAAUGAUAUCUUCCAACGUCCUAUACACGUAUUUGUUCUCAAGACAGAUUAGGGGCCAAAUAGAGUAUAUUGUAUAGGGGAUUCAUAUCGCUGACUCCAACUAGUUUGAGAUUUAUGCUAAUUGAUUGAUUGAAUAUAUUUUUUUAUUUCAUUUUUACUCCUAUCAUAAACUAUGUCUAGUAAAACUGUUAUUUUUCUGCCUCAGAUUAUGGAGAACAUGAGUUUUGUGGAGGAUGUGAGGAUACUGAUAAGUCAGCUAGGAUGUGUCCCUGGUGUCUUGUUAUCCGACGAAAACGCAUCAAAAGAUCCGAUCGUGAAUACUGGCGCACCAGGUUGUCAGGGAAGUUCAGUUUUUGUAGAUUCUUGUGGGCGUGGUAAAGUAAUGAACUCUGCUCCGGAUAUUGCUGGCUGCAGUUUUCAGAACAACUCAAGUCAGCGUGAUGGUUUUAUUUGUCAAACUUCUUCCUCUCCGACUGCACAAGUUCGGGAUAGAAUGCAGUUUACCGAUGCAACAUUUCAAGCCUCCAGUAUGACCCAAAGUUUUGUCGAAUCUCAUGAUCGUCAGUUUCACAAGAAAAUUGUUCCAGAGGUGAAUGCACACCUGUCUCCUAAUAGCCAGCUAAUACAUAACAUGAUUAAAGCGGAGGUAAUUUCUCCAAGCUCCAACAUGUGGAUGAAUCAACAAGCUUCUUUACACAUUCCGAGGCCUCCCUUUCAUCAGCAAUCUUCUACUGACUCAUUAACUGUAGAUAGCGGCUGCUUAAGCAAUGUAUCCCAGCUUAAUGGUUUCGCUGCAUCUGAUCCAAGACUGAGUAAUGUCCUGAUUUCCAAUUGUCAUGGAAAUUUGAUUUAUCCAUCUGUUGGAAAAAAUGAAUUAUGUAAACGAUUGGAUGGGCAUCACCGAUCAAUUCCAUGCCCCAAUUCUAUUGCUGAUGCCAAUGAACUAUCAAACAAAAUCAACUCUUGCACAGAGUCUGCUGGAAAUGGGCUUCAAACAGCGUCAAAAUUGAAUGCAUCUUCAUCUUUUGUUGGGGACGCUUUGAUUACUAGUCAUAUUUCUGAUGGUCAGGGCGCGCAAUUUAUGUGGGAUGAGAGUAAUGGCGUAGUCGAAAAUGAUUUGUUUCAAGCACUCGGUAUUAUGCUAACACAGAAUGAGCACCUGUGUAGUACAAGCAAGCCGAUGGAAGAGGUUUAUGGUGAAAGACAUGAAUAUGUGGGGCAGAAUGCAUUACAUGAAAAUAACCAGUACGAAGAUUCCUGUGUCCAACGUAACUCGGGGGAUGACCUGUUUGAUGUUCUCGGUGCUGAUUUUAAAGAUAAACUACUCAACGGAAACAAGAACAGUUAUCAAACUAACGGACCAGACUUGACCACAAGGGAUCACGUUAAGAAUAACUCUACUUCCGUGAUUAGUCAGUAUGCUUCUUCGACAGUCCAUCAAGGAAAAUCAGAUAGUGGAUCAUUCUCUGUGGCUGGUUUCGAGCGUCUUUUGGGUUCUAUAGCAUCCAAGCCUUCUGCCAAGCAGAAUCUUGAUGAUGAUGUUUCUUGUCGGACAACGUUGACAAAUUUGAGUAGCUCCUCUGCUCCACAUGUUUCAUCGUCCUAUGGCCGAGUUGGAUUAUCUAGUCAAAUUCAAGGAGAGGUAUUUGGACAAGCCAAGACUCUUGCAAAAUCAGGAGUAACAGUUUCUCGGUCAUUGGGAUCCGAGAAAGCAAUCUCAGGAGCCUAUUCGCAGAGCAGUUCAAUUUAUGGGUCACAAAUUAGUUCAUGGGUGGAACAAGGUCAUGACACAAAGCCAACUAGCAGUGUUUCUACUGGAUAUUCUAAGAAGCCCGAUGAGACAAGCAAGACCGGUCGCAAAAGGCUUAAACCAGGAGAGAAUCCUAGACCUAGGCCAAAAGACCGACAAAUGAUCCAAGAUCGUGUAAAAGAACUGCGAGAAAUUGUUCCAAAUGGAGCAAAGGUGAGAUACCUUAUUUUGAACUGUUUAUCAUUUCCUUUCCUAGUUUCGUAAAUCCGUAGAAUGAAUACUCUUAAAGAUACCUUUUCCGUUUUGGUUUUGUGAUUUCAGUGUAGCAUUGAUUCACUACUGGAACGCACGAUCAAGCACAUGCUUUUCUUGCAGAGUGUCACGAAACAUGCGGACAAAUUAAAACAGACAGGAGAGUCAAAGGUUCGAUCAUAACCACUUAACCUUGUUAUAAUCCCAUCGUCAAAAAUUAUUUUCGAGUUCGGAUGACACAGAGAAAUGCGUGUACAAAAUUUUCGAAUGCGUGCUAGCAAAUGAUCCAAGAAGCCUGAUUGUACGAGAGAAUUACUUACGACCUUUCCCCUCGUGUUGUAAACUUGCAGAUUAUCAGCAAGGAAGGAGGAUUGCUUUUAAAAGAUAAUUUUGAAGGUGGAGCGACGUGGGCAUAUGAAGUUGGUUCACAGUCUAUGGUCUGUCCGAUUAUAGUUGAGGAUCUGAAUCAGCCUCGUCAAAUGCUCGUGGAGGUCGGAACAUCUACAAAUUACAUAGUUUUGACAUGGAUUCAUUUAUUGUUAAGAAAUAUAUGUAUAUGUUGUCUGAUUUUCGUCUGAAUUUGUUUGUUUUCUGCAGAUGCUUUGCGAAGAGCGUGGUCUAUUUCUGGAAAUAGCUGACAUUGUAAGAGGAUUGGGCCUGACCAUCUUAAAAGGAGUUCUGGAAAAGAGGAACGACAAAAUAUGGGCGAGGUUCGCAGUAGAGGUAUCUAUCUUAUCAAGAAUCGAGCGACUAUCUUAUGUUUUCAUCUUCGACACAACCUAAAAUCUUGAUGUUCAAAUACAGGCAAAUAGAGACGUAACGAGGAUGGAGAUAUUCAUUUCACUCGUUCGCCUCUUAGAGCAAACAUCAAAAGGCGGUGGAGAGGAAUCAGCUAACCCCAUUGAUAACGACACAAAGAUGGUGCAUCCGUAUCAUCAAGCAACGUCGUUAACAAUGCUCAACACAUGAGGCUAUAGCUAUGUGAUCUUCGUCUGGACGUGUUAAGAGUUAAGCAGUCGAAAACCAUGCUUGCCAUGACUAACAUGUACAUUUAUAGUCCGACCCUCGUGGUUCUACGAAGCUAGUCCUCAUUUUUCGCCAGUACUAUCCAGAUUCCCAACGUUUGCUUAGUGCACCGGGCUGCCUUAUUUUUUUUUUUACUGUUGCCCUUUGACGUAGUAUAAAUUUUUCAUUAGGUACAAGGAGAAGGGAAAUGGAUUCUUGGUUUUUAUUGUUUAGCAAGGGAGUUUAGGGGGUGUUUAGUAGGUAAAUAUUUGUGUACUUAUUAGUGUUCAAUUUGUGAACAUGUUUUUUCUGGCUUUAAUUAAGAGUUUUCUUUUUUUUGGGCUUUAAUUAAGAUUUUUUUUUGGCCAGCUGAAAUCUUCUUGUUUGCACUUCAUUAUCAUAAAUAUAUAUAUAUUUUUUGUUUUUCAUCCAAUGUUCGGUUCCUACAUUGGAGCCCUAUUAAUUUGAACUCGCGCCGGAUAGUGUCCAUUCUGGGUAGCGAUAGUCGCAUAAAUGGUUAUGGUACAUACUCAAGUUUCAAUCAUCCCCCAUUUCAUAAUACUUGUCAUUUUAGAAUUUUAGAAAACCAAUACAAAAUUAGUCUCUUUUUUCAUCUUUAAUCUUUAGUCAUAAAUAUGAAGAGGUUAAUAGUAUAAUGCAAAAAAGAAAAGAAGUAUUAAUAUUAAAUAGAAAUGAACAAUAAAUAUGGAUGAUUUAGUCAAACUAUUCUUAAGUUAAUAUUUUUCUUUAAAGGUGACAAGUAUUUAGGAACUGAGAGAGUAACACGUUUUUCUUGAUUGAAAGAACAACUUGCUUAUCGAAAAUAUUAAAACGUAAACUAUAAAUUACGAUCAAUCUAUAAAUAGACACUUAAAUUUGAUUUAAGUUGAUAAGUAAGCAUUCCAACUUGAAAGUACAUAUAUGGACGCUAUAAUUUAGUCUUAGCUAACAAUUAAACACUCUUAACUCAUAUUUAUCGUGUGUCAUGGUCACCAAAUAUGACGUGAUACAUAAAUUUUGAAAGUAUCUAAAUGAUCAUUUUAUAAGUUGGCAAAGACGGUGCCGGGAUUUCAACUGAGGGGUUCAAUAUUUGAAGAAAACCUAACGAAGGAGAUUCAAUAUUUGAAGAAAACCUAUCCGAAGGAGGUUCAACACCUACUAUAGAUACAUAAAAGAUAAUUUUAAUCAUUUAUAAAUAGUAUAUUUUUUCGUUGAAGGAGUUCGGAUGAAUCCCCUAGCCAAAGGCUGGCUCCUCCCCUGUAAGUUGGAGUAUUCAAUUGCCACAAUGAACGAGUUGAAUUGUCUAGCUCUACAUAUUUAAAAUUGAGAUGUUUACUUAUCAGCCAAAAUUAAAUUUAAAUAUCUGUUUAUAUAUUACGUCAUACAUUAUUAUUAUUAUUAUUAUUAUUAUUAUACGAGGAAUAUUUUUCAGACAGCUGGCUAAAAAUGUGAAGAUCCCAUGAUCAUUAGUACAACAUAUUUGAGUUCCAUGUAGCUAAAAUUAUUAUUCUUUUUAAAAAAAAUUGGUCCAGUGAUUCUCUUAAAAGAAGUUAAAAAAGAAACAUGAUUAAUGAAGCAUUUAAUUUAUAUACAUAUACUGAUGGUAUAAAGAAUAUUAACAUAUUAAUUGUAAACUAAUGUACUUUAUUUUUGAGCCCGCUUUUUAUGCCAGCAAUAACUAAACCAAGAAUAUCCUAAGGAUAUAAAAUUUCUAUAUAUUCAUUAUAAUUUUUUGACGAAGAAUAUUUAAUUAAUCACCUUUUAUUUUAUAUGACUACGUUAAUGUUGGCAACUACGUAUGAUUAUUAUCUCUGUGAUUUAAUAGUAUAAAAAAUUAUAUUGCAUGUCUAAUUAAACUCAAAUUAAUAACACACCAGCAAAUAGUAUAUAUUAUGAUCAUUUUCGUCUUAAAGACGAUGCAUCUUCUUCUCUUCUCUUUGUUUUUCUAAGAAGGUAACGAACGCCUUUCAUGAGUAUUUUCUAUUUCUAGAUAGCGUCAUUUUAUGGUUGCAGUUAGCGUUUUUGACCAGUAAAAUAGAAAUGACCUUUCUCGCUUGUUUAGUAAAAUCGCAAUAUUAUUCUUAUACUCCUAUAUUUCUUUUCAACUGAAAGAUGUAAAAGGUGCUGAUUCGUUCUAUCCAAAUAGAAAUCUCACCCUCUUUCACACAUUACCGAUGGUGACAAAGUCUUUCUCCCAUCUUUCCAAAUCAAUUUACGUAUUUAAGAUGUCUCUAUGUGUGGCGUGAAAAGAUAAGGAACAAAUGUUUUUUUGUUGGAACCUUUGGAGAAAUUCGCAGAUGCUAUUCUCCUAGUGCACAUUAGAUAGGUUUAGUGAGACGAGCUCAAUUGAUCAUAAGACAUUGAUAAAAGAACUCAAUCCCUAAUCUCCCUUAUGUAAUACCACCUAUUACAUCAAUUUAGAUAUAUUUACGAGUUAAAUUUAACAAUUUUUUUUUGGUCAACUGUAGCAUCUCGAAAAAAGAAAAUUUGAAUCUAAUUAAUAUUAUUGAAAGUCAUAACACUAAGGUUAUGAAGAGUGGUGUAUGCAUAAUUAUUUAUCUCAUUGUUAGAUACCUAUGUGGAUAAAAUAAUUAAAUGUUGCUUUCUUAUAUAUGCAUAUACAUAUUAUAUUUGUUAGUGAUAUUAAUAAAGAACCGUGGGGACCGCCUUUUAUAUAACUUUUCCUUAAAAUAGUAUUAAAUUGAAUGGGGGAAACAAUAUUAGUUCACUGGAAACGUGUUUCCAGGAACAAAAAACUUGCAUUCUCUGUUUCCCUUUUCCUUUUGAGGCAUCAAUAAGAGAAAAGAAGUUAAUUACUUAUAAGAGGUCAAGGAGAAAAGGAAAAUAUAAAGGAGAAAGGAUAUCCUAGUCUUAAGGAACAUAUAAACUAAAGGAUUUGGUGGCAGCCACAAGGGAUUUGAAGAAUCGAUUUGAAGAAUCUUUAAUUGAAAUUGAAUUCCAAAAGGUAAGUUCUUUACCACUUUUCAUGAAUUUGAUGUGGAUAAGUAUUUUGGGGAUGUUUAAUUUGAAUUUGUGCUUUACUUCUUUGAAGUUGGGUUAUGAAAGAAAGAGGAAAAAUGGAAAAUUUUGAUAAAAAGGGUUUUUUUAGGGAUUUCUAUCAAUUAGGUGGAUGUAUUGUUGAAUUGUAUAAGUUGAAAGAGUUAGACUUUACUCCGAAUUCUGGAUAAGUAGUUCGAUUAAUUUCGAACAUAAGUGAGGAGUAUUGAAAUAAGUUGCUAAACAAUUCUUCGGAUUAUUGAUGGACAUAUAUGGUAUCCUUGUAGCUAGUGAAUUGAUCAGAUAGAAGGAAUUAGUGGUUGGUAAGAUAAAGGUUGCACGCUCGUUGGUUGAAUCACUUGGGGCUCGAAUUACUAUCAUAGUUAAUAAAGCAAUAAGGUAUAUAAAGCUAAAUCCUUCCCUCGCCGCUAAGACAACACCCUAUGUCAUGUGUUUUUUUCAUUUGAUGUUAGUAUAAUUCUCAUGAAAAAUGAAAUUGGAAUCUAUAUUGCCUUACAUACCAUUCCCUCGUUCUACUAUCAAGAUUAUAAGUAUCUAUCCUUCCUUUUUUAUGUUAAAUUUUCAUGAUACUUUCUUACUAUCAUAAGUUUCUAUAUUUGAAGCCUUUAAGCCACAAUAUAUAUGGGGAUAACACACGUUAGGAGUAAAAGUAAAUAGUAAUGGCAUGGUUGAAUCUGUAUAUGCUAUAUAGACGAUCAAUAUCGUAACUCAUAUGUCAUAGGCCUUCAAGGCAUUAUUUGAUAUACAGUAACGACGGAGGUACAUAGGGUUGGCUUGGCAUAUCGCUCGACGUGAUUCUGUGAACAGGAUUGAGACCAGACCACUAUAGCGAGCCCAAUCAUUGGGCGUACCUACCUUUGUGGCAUCAUUUAUUUUUGAAGUCAGUUGGAACGUCAUGUAUUGGUUUUCCUUGACUCGAGCCAACAUAUGACAUAUAUGGCCUGCGGGCAGACCCUCAUAGUGAGCCCCUGGGCGGGGCGUACCUGGAUAUAGACUGCAAUUACAGUUACACAUAUGAGAUCAUAACAAUGAGUAUAAAAGCAACAUAUGCUUUAUACUUGCCUCAGAUUGCCUUCGGAAGGCCAUCUUGUGAUCAUCUGUAUAACUUAUAGGGUAAGUGCAUCACCUAGGAAAGGUAUAAGUCCUAUAUUAUAAUGAACACUUGUGUUAAAUAUUAUAUAAGAUGCUAAUAAGGCUGGUGCAUAAGUUAUUAGUUCGUAUCGUAUAUGUGUUAUUUGUUGGCUCAUACAUUUUUCACAUUUCCAUUUGACUCAUAUGAGCUUUUGUAUUUGUCCAGCUGUUAUUCUGUCUGCUUUCAUACCGGUACAUGUUUAUGUACUGACGCUUUGUGCCCACUAUGUUUUAUUAAUGUAGGCUCCGAUCCUCCUGAUCGCAGACAUCCACGUUAGGCUCUAUUGCCAUUUUCAGCGGAUAUUUUGGUGAGCUCCAACUCUUUCUGGAGCCAGUCUAUGCCUAAUAGUUUUUAUUAUAUGUACAGGUCUCUGGUUGGGCAUGACGGGCCGGAUGCCAACUAGUCACUUAUAGUAUAGUGUGUUAAAUUGACUAGAGGCUUCAUGGACAUCGUGUAGUAUUGUAUAGUUUUGUUAAUGUAAAUCCCUCAUGUAUAUAUGCAACUCUUAUUUAAUACCUUGCUCAUUAGUAUUCCAUAACCUCGCGUACGUCAGAAAGUGCUUGUAGAAUGUGUGUAUGCGGUUCUUGUUCGUCCUUAAUUUGGGGCGUGACAAACUUGGUAUCAGAGCACCUAGGUUUAGGUGUCCUAGGAAGUCUAUGAGGCCGUGUCUAGUAGGACCUUACUUAUCGAUGUGUUGUGCGCCACAUUUAUAAUCAAGGGAAUGCAUGGAAAUCUAGGAAUUUGACCUUCAUAUAUAAUCUAGAUCAUGCAAUAGAGCUAAGUUAUAAAAAGUUACUUCUGACUUCUAUUCUGCUUAUUUGUGAUACAGACUAUGUCUGCUACAGAAAAGGUUAAAGCAGUCCAGCAGGCUGCUGCUAGCACUACUCAGGAGGCAACUACUAUCGGGCAAUCCCCAGUAUUGGUGGAUCUGAAUAGGACUCAAGAAAGUUUGUUGGGUUCUAUGCUUCCAGGUUCUCAAAUGCCUGGAACGAAAGGACCUACAGGGGCUUCUGUACCCCCACUGGUGCUAAUAGUAGUUCCUACCCCACCACCAAAUGCCUCAGACCCAGAUAUUAAGGGAGCGAUACAGUUGCUUACACAGUUGGUUGCUGCUCAGGUCCAAAGACAGAAUAUGGACGUAUCUAUUGCUACUCAGAGAGGAAUUGAUGAAUCUAAGAUCAAAGAUUUCCUCUGUAUGAAUCCACCAGAAUUCACAGGUUCCAAGCUUACAGAGGAUACUCAACAGUUCAUUGAUGAGACUCAUAGAAUUUAUAAGGUGAUGCGGGUCCCGAAUACAGAUGCAGUUGAAUUGGCCGCCCAUCGACUAAAAGACGUUGCUGUUGACUGGUAUGAAACGUGGGUUGAUUCGAGAGGUCAGGAAGCUCUUCCAGCGGUCUAGAAAGAAUUUGCAUAAGCUUUCAUAGACCACUUCAUGCCAUUAGAGCUUAGAGAGACAAAGAUGGAUGAAUUUCUUUCUUUAAAGCAGGGUAAUCUUAGUGUUAAGGAGUAUUAUUUGUGGUUUAUGCAGUUGUCCAAAUAUACUUCAGAGGUGGUUAACACACAAGCAAAAUAGAUUCAUCGCUUUAUGAAUGGUCUUGCGGGUCCCUUGAAGGACUUUUUUCCUGUUGCUGCUAUGAAUAGGGAUUUGGAUAUAGCAAGGAUCAUGACAUGUUCUCAGCAGAUAGAGGAAGAUCAGCGUAAUCAUAAAAUAGAUAGGGAAAGGAAGCAGAGUAAGAGAGCUAGGACGACCAACCAGUAUCACGGAAGCAGUGAAGCUACCACUAGUAGAGGGCCACCUAGGCAUACCCAGUCAGCUGUGCGCUCUACAUCUAAUGCUCCAACUCAGUUUUUAAGGCAUAUGUAUGAGCAAAGCUAGACUUCUAGAGCACCAGACUUAUGACAUCAGAGGGGCGCUAGUUGAGGAUUACCACCUCGACCUACAUGCGGGCAGUAUGGCCGACCACAUGGAGGAGAGUGUCGGUGUGGUUCAAAUGCAUGUUACUGGUGUGGUAUAGAAGGUCAUAUGGUACGUGAUUUUCCACAGCUUAGAGAUAAGGGUAAAGGCAAUCGAUCACAGCCUACAGGGUCUGUAUCAGCUUCAUCAGUGCCUUCUUCUUCUCGCAGUCUUCAGACAUCAACAGGUAGAGGAUCUGGUAUGGGCAAAGGGCUUGGUUCGAGCGCAGGCCUGAACCGUAUGUAUACACUAGCUGGUCGGUGAGAUUCAGAGGCAUCUUCAGAUAUGGUCACAGGUACCUUAGCUAUCUUUUUACAUGAUGUAUAUGCCUUGAUAGACCCAGGAUCCACCCUGUCAUAUGCUACUCUAUUUUUUGCUAAGCAGUUUGGAAUAGAGCCGGAGUUGUUACGCAAACUAUUUACGAUAUCGACUCCAGUAGGAAAUUCUAUUAUAGCUACACGGGUCUAUUAUGAUUGAGUUGUGACAGUAUGUGGUCGGGCUACAUUGGCUAAUCUGAUUGAACUUGAAAUGAUCGACUUUGACGUUAUUACGGGUAUGGAUUGGUUAUUCUCUUGUUAUGCUAUAGUUGAUUGUCGAACCAAGAUAGCCCGUUUCCACUUCCCAGGAGAGCCAAGCCUAGAGUAGAGGGGUGAUUUUAUGAUGCCUAGAGGGAGGUUUAUUUUCUUUCUUAAGGCACGAAAGCUUAUUGCAAAGGGGUGUUUGUAUCACCUAGUCCAAGUGAAAGAUAUUGACGUCGAAAAACAGGUACCAACUUUAGGAUCUGUACCUAUGGUGAACGAGUACUCGGAUAUGUUUCCUGAAGAACUUCCUGGAUUAGCUCCUAUCAGAGAGAUCGAUUUUGGUAUUGAUGUGGAUCCCGGUACUCAGCCGAUAUCAAUUCCACCUUAUAGAAUGGCCCCUGCCGAAUUGAAAGAGUUAAAAGAGCAAUUAAAAGACUUACUUGACAAAGGUUUCAUGUGGCCUAGUAUAUCACCUUGGGGUGUGCCGGUGUUUUUUGUACGCAAGAAAGAUGACACAUUGCAAAUGUGUAUAGAUUAUAGACAGCUAAACAAAGUGACAAUAAAGAAUAAGUACCCUCUCUCUCGAAUAAAUGAUUUAUUUGAUUAAUUACAGGGAGCUAGAUGUUUUUCAAAGAUCGAUUUGAGGUUCGAUUAUCACCAACUAAGAAUUCAUGAAACAAAUAUUCCCAAAACAGCCUUUUGGACAAGAUAUGGGCACUUUAAGUUUCUUGUCAUGUCAUUUGGACUAACGAAUGCUCCAUCAGCCUUCAUGGACAUGAUGAAUAGGAUUUUCAAACCCUUCCUGGAUAUUUACGUGAUUGUAUUUAUAGAUGACAUUUUGAUAUAUUCACAUAAUGAAGUUGAGCAUGCGGAUCAUUUGAGGUCAGUGUUACAGACACUUAGAGAGCACCAGUUGUAUGCUAAGUUCUCUAAGUGUGAGUUUUGGUUGACCUCGGUAGCAUUUCUUGGUCAUGUCAUAUCUGGAGAAGGCAUCUGAGUAGAUUUUCAGAAGAUAGAAAUUGUGAAGAAUUGGCCUCGACCAACCACUCCUAUGAGGUGCGUAGUUUCUUGGGGCUAGCCGGCUACUACAGGAGAUUUGUGGAGGGCUUUUCCUCUAUUUUUGCCCCAUUGACCAAAUUAACGUAGAAAAUGGUUAAGUACCAGUGGUCAGAUGCUUGUGAAAGCGAAAGAAGUUUCCAAGAGUUGAAACAUAGAUUAACCACUGCGCCAGUGUUGGACUUACCAGAGAGCACAAAAUGAUAUGUGGUGUAUUGUGAUGCUCAGGCGUUGGUUUGGGUUGCGUCCUAAUUCAGCAUGAAAGAGUUAUAGCAUAUGCUUCUCGACAAUUAAAGAAACAUGAACAACAUUAUCCUACUCAUGACUUAGAGCUUGCAGCAGUGGUAUUUUCACUAAAAAUUUGGUGUCAUUAUUUAUAUGGAGUACAUGUUGAUAGCUUUAAAGAUCAUAAAAGUAUCCAAUAUAUAUUCAAACAGAAAGAGCUGAACUUGAGGCAAAGGAGGUGGCUAGAGUUACUGAAGGAUUAUGAUAUCAAUAUUCUCUAUCAUCCCGAUAAAGGUAACAUUGUAGCUGAUGCUCUUAGUCGACUAUCCAUGGGUAGUCUAGCACAUCUGCCACCUGUUCAACGGAAAGUAGCAAGAGAUUUUUACAAAUUGGCCAACCUUGGCGUUCGCCUUUUGGAUUCUGAAGAUGUUGGCUUUGUGGUACUUAAUACAGCCGAAUCGUCGCUUGUGACAUUGGUUAAGCAAAGACAGUAUGAUGACCCCUUGUUUCUCCAAUACAAAGAGGGGAUUCAAAACAUCGAAUCACGACAUUUGAACUAGCAGGUGAUGACACCUUGAGGUGUCGAGGUAGAUUAUGUGUGCCUAAUGUUGAAGGGUUGCGACAACAGAUUAUAGCUGAGGCACAUUGCUCUCGUUAUUCAAUCCAUCCUGGGUCUACCAAAAUAUAUCAUGAUCUUAAAUAGAUCUACUGGUGGAACGACAUGAAGAGAGAUAUAGCAGAAUAUAUAGCACGGUGCUCUAAUUGUCAGCAAGUGAAAGAAGAACAUCAAAGGCCAGGUGGCCUAGGUCAAACCUUUAAUAUUCCUGUAUGGAAAUGGGAUGCUAUUAAUAUGGACUUCGUUGUAGGCUUACCUUUUUCUAUCGGAAACAUGACUUUAUUUGGGUAAUAGUUGAUCGAUUGAUGAAAUCAACCUAUUUUCUUCUUGUUAAGUCUACUGGCACAGCUGAGGAUUAUGCCAAGCUUUAUGUAAAGGAGAUUGUUCGCCUAUAUGGGACUCAAAUGUCCAUUAUUUUAGAUAGAGGUUCCCCAUUUAAAGCUCAGUUUUGGAAAUCAUUUCAUAGGAGCUUAGGUACGCAGGUGAACCUUAGCACUGCAUUUCAUCUGUAGACAGACGGCCAAGCUGAGCGCACCAUUCAGACGCUCGAAGAUAUGUUGAGAGCAUGCGUUCUCAAUUUUAAAGGUAAUUGGGAUGAUCAUUUGCCUUUAAUAGAAUUUGCUUAUAAUAACAGUUAUCACUCCAGCAUUUGCAUGGCUCCAUUUGAAACUCUCUAUGAGAGGCGAUGUAUAUCACCUAUUGGUUGGUUCAAAGUAGGCGAGACACAGGUAUUAGGUCUGGAUUUAGUCCAUCAAGCUAUCGAAAAGGUUAAACUGAUACGAGAGCAGUUGAAGACUGCCCAGAGUAGACAAAAAUCAUAUACGGAUGUGCGACUUAGAGAUUUAGAGUUUUAUGUUAAUGAUUUUAUGUUCUUAAAAGUGUCGCCGAUGAAGGCGUUAUGCGAUUUGUGAAAAAGGGUAAAUUGAGUCCCAGGUAUAGUUAUUCGUAAAAUUGGUCAGGUAGCCUAUGAGCUAGAAUUACCUCUAGAGUUAGCUACAAUGCAUCCGAUCUUUCAUGUGUCUAUGCUACAUAAAUGCUUAGGAGAGCCGUCUCUUGUCAUCCCUAUAGAGGGUAUUGAACUUGAUGAAAACUUAUCAUUCGAAGAAGUCCCCGUGGCCAUAUUGGAUCGGCAGGUCAGAAAGUUAAGAUCUUGAUACAUAGCUUCAAUAAAGGUGUUGUGGAGAAACCAGAACGUAGAACAAGCCACCUAGGAAGUAGAAGCGGAUAUGAAAGUUAAAUAUCCAUAUUUGUUUCAAAACUAUCCAGAGGUUCUUAAACUACUUUUUCCCUUAUGUGAUCAUUAGUGCUAUUAUAAUUCGUUCUGUUGAUAUCUGAUUUGUUCUUGAUAUAUGUUUAGGUACAUGGAAACAACGUGCAGAUGUAGAGUAUAAGGUAAGUCACAUGGUUAGUUAUGACUUUUAAUGGUGUUAAGUCCAAGAGAAGCCUCGUGUGUUAUUGUUUUUGAGUUUAAGGCCAAGCGAAGCCUCGUAUAUUAUUUGUUGAGUUUUAUAUGUGUUGCGACGCUUUGUGAAACGUACUAAGAUGUAUUUUGGUUAGCUGACAGGUACCCGAUAGGCCUAUUUACAAAGAAAACUGUGGCAAAAUUUUUAGAAAUUUGAAGAGUUAGUCAAAUUUCGAGGCCUUGUAACAGGGUAAGGUAAGACUGGAGUUGGAUGAUCAAGUAGGUGUUUUGGAUCGUGGUAGGAUGGAGGAUAAGCUUUAAGCAUCAUUCGAGGGCGAAUGGUCCUAAGUGGGGGAGAUUGUAGCAUCUCGAAAAAAGAAAAUUUGAAUCUAAGUUAAUAUUAUUGAAAGCCAUAAAACUUAAGGUUAUGAAGGGUGGUGUAUGCAUAAUUAUUUAUCUCAUUGUUAGGUGCCUAUGUGGAUAAAAUAAUUAAAUGUUGCUUUCUUAUAUAUGCAUAUACAUAUUAUAUUUGUUAGUGAUAUUAAUAAAGAACUGUGGGGACCGCCUUUUAUAUAACUUUUCCUUAAAAUAGUAUUAAAUUGAAUGGGGGAAACAAUAUUAGUUCACUGGAAACGUGUUUUCAGGAACAAAACUUGCAUUCUUUGUUUUCAUUUUUCUUUUGAGGCAUCAAUAAGAGAAAAGAAGUUAAUUACUUAUAAGAGGUCAAGGAGAAAAGGAAAAUAUAAAGGAGAAAGGAUGUCCUAGUCUUAAGGAACAUAUAAACUAAAGGAUUUGGUGGCAGCCGCAAGGGAUUUGAAGAAUCUUUAAUUGAAAUUGAAUUCUAAAAGCUAAAUUCUUUACCACUUUUCAUGAAUUUGAUGUGGAUAAGUAUUUUGGGGAUGUUUAAUUUGAAUUUGUGCUUUACUUCUUUGAAGUUGGGUCAUGAAAGAAAGAGGAAAAAUGGAAAAUUUUGAUAAAAAGGGGUUUUUUAGGGAUUUUUAUCAAUUGGGUGGAUGUAUUGUUGAAUUGUAUAAGUUGGAAGAGUUAGAAUUUACUCCGAAUUCUGGAUAAGUAGUCCGAUUAAUUUCGGGCAUAAGUGAGGAGUAUUGAAAUAAGUUGUUAAACAUUCCUUCGGAUUAUUGACGGACAUAUAUAGUAUCCUUGUAGCUAGUGAAUUGCUCAGAUAGCAGGAAUUAGUGGUUGGUAAGAUAAAGACUGCAAGCUCGUUGGUUGAAUCACUUGGGGCUCGAAUUACUAUCAUAGUUAAUAAAGCAAUAAGGUAUGUAAAGCUAAAUCCUUCCCUCGCCGCUAAGGUACCACCCUAUGUCAUGUGCUCUUUUCCAUUUGAUGUUAGUAUAAUUCUCAUGAAAAACGAAAGUGGAAUCUAUAUUGUCUUACAUACCAUUCCCUCGUUUUACCAUCAAGCUUAUAAGUAUCUAUCCUUCCUUCUUUAAGUUAACAUUUCAUGAUACUUUCUUAAUAUCAUAAGUUUCUAUACUUGAAGCCUUUAAGCCACAAUAUAUAUGUGGAUAACACACGUUAGGAGUAAAAAUAAAUAGUAAUGGCAUGGUUGUAUCUAUAUAUGCUAUAUAGACGAUCAAUAUCGUAACUCAUAUGUCAUAGGCCUUCAAGGCAUUAUUUGAUAUACAGUAACGAUGGGAGGGUACAUAGGGUUGACUUGGCAUAUCGCUCAAUGUGAUUCUGUACACAGGAUCGAGACUAGACCACUAUAGCGAGCCCAAUCAUUGGGCGUACCCGCCUUUGUGGCAUCAUUAUUUUUGAAGUCAGUUGGAACGUCAUGUAUUGGUUUCCCCUGACUCGAGCCAACAUAUGACAUAUAUGGCCUGCGGGUAGACCCUCAUAGUGAGCCCCUGGGCGGGGCGUACCUGGAUACAGACUGCGAUUACAGUUACACAUAUGAGAUCAUAGCUAUGAGUAUAUAAGCAACAUAUGCUUUAUACUUGCCUCAGAUUGCCUUCGGAAGGCCAUCUUGUGAUCAUCUGUACAACUUAUAAGGUAAGUGCAUCACCUAGGCAAGGUAUAGGUCCUAUAUUAUAAUGAACGCUUGUGUUAAAUAUUAUAUAAGAUGCUAAUAAGGUUGGUGCAUAAGUUAUUAGUUUGUAUCGUAUAUGUGUUAUUUGUUGGCUCAUACAUUUUUCACAUUUCCGUUUGACUCAUAUGAACUUCUGUAUUUGUCCAGCUGUUAUUCUGUCUGCUUUCAUACAGGUACAUGUUUAUGUACUGACGUUUCGGGCCCACUAUGUUUUAUUAAUGCAGGCUCCGAUCCUCCUGAUCGCAGACAUCCACGUUAGGCUCUAUUACCGUUUUCAGCUGAUAUUUUGGUGAGCUCCAACUCUCUCUGGAGCCAGUCUAUGCCUAAUAUUUUUUAUUAUAUGUACAGGUUUCUGGUUGGGCAUGACGGGCCGGAUACCAACUGGUCACUUGUAGUAUAGUGUGUUAAACUAACUAGAGGCUUCAUGGACAUCGUGUAGUAUUGUAUAGUUUUGUUAAUGUAAAUCCCUCGUGUAUAUAUGCAACUCUUAUUGAAUACCUUGCUCUUUAUUAUUCCAUAACCUCGCGUACGUCACAGAGUGCUUGUAGAAUGUGUGUAUACGAUUCUUGUUCGUCCUUAAUUUGGGGCGUGACAUCAACAUUGAUUUAAUAUUUUUGUCCAAGUAGAAAUCUAUGCUUAUAGGAUAUGAAGUUGGGUUGGUUCCUCAAAAUGUAUAUUUUCUUAUGUUAUAAUAAUAUUCCUUCAUUUCAAAGACAUAUUCCUUAUUUUAUUUUUUUACACAACUUGCAUGGUUAAAGUGGAAGCUAAAAGAAUAAAAUAUUUUUUUGUCAGAGCUAAAUUUUCAUUAAAAAAAGAACAAAUUUAUGAUGUGAAAUAAUGAAUAAAUUUCUUCACCUGAAAAGAACAUAUCAGACCUAAGGGUGUGUUCGGUAGGAAGGAAUUUAUAUUUUAUGAAGAAUAUUUUCUUGAAAAAUAAGUGAAUUAUUUAUUAAUUAAUUAAUUAAUUAAUUUAUUUAUUGGUGUUUUGUGUAUAGAUAAAAAAAUUAUCCCAAACGCAUUCGUAUAUAAUGUAGAACAAAUGUCAUGAGAAGUGGGUGUGGGGUGGUCGGAAUGGGGGCUAUGAGGGUGGGUAAACAUGCUCUGCGUUGGAGGUGGGAAAAACAUAAUUAACUUGUAAUAUCGCUUGUGAAACUUAUUUUUAAAUUUUUAUUACAAAAAUUAUUUUACUCAUUUAAAAAAAAAUAUUUUCUUUAAUAAAAAUUUUGAUCAAUCGAACAAGACAAAAUUUCAUCCAUAACGUAACCCAAUAUAAAUGUUCUCAUAAAAGGGCAAAUAACACUUUUAGUCCCAUAGUUAAUAUUAUAUUCAUUAUAAUAUUUAAUUUUUAGAUUGUGAUAUCUACUAAGCAUACAUAUAAAUAUUUAACCAUCAAUUAGUUGAAACAUGUUUUGAUCACUUUACUUGUUAGUAUUCACAAAUUUAUCAUUAAUAUUACUAAUCGUUUCACCACUUUACUAAUAUAUUAUGUUAAAUUUUCAUUAUUACUUUAUAUCUUGACAAUAAUCUAAUUCUAAACAUAAUCCAAAAGCGCUAUUACGUACCCUUCAUUUAAUAUUUUGUAUUUUUCGUUCGAAAUAAAAAAAAUGAAUCAAUUGAUUUUACAUACGGUCCAUCUCAAAUUUCUUUUCUCAAUAUUUUUUAUCGAAGUUUUCAUUUAUUUUUACAGUAAAAAAUUUGAAAAUAAAAACAUAAGAAAUCGCUUGUUUUCUUCUAUUCAAAUCAUAACAGGUAAAGACAAAUAAUUCACCGUACAAGCUACCGAACUUAAUCGAAUUAAUCAUGUAUUUAAGUUAAAAACAUAUUUAACAUAUAUAAAAAAAAUUAUAUAAAAUUCAUAAACUUAAAAUCCUACGAGUGUGAGAAAGAGUUAUGCUGAACAUGUGUGUCUAUCACAACAUUUAUACCAAGUCAGUAAAUCAACAUAUCUUAUCAUAGUAAAAGAUGCUCAUAUAAUAUAUAUAUAUAUAUAUAUAUAUAUAUAUAUAUAUAUAUAUCUCUUUUACUUGGUGAAGAUUAGGUCUCAACCAUUGACAAGAUUCAUGGAUAGGGAGGGACAAAUAUAAAGCAAUAAAAAAGUUUAAUAAUGUUCUCACCAAACAUUAUUGUUUUCCAUUGAUUCAAUUUUGUUUGCUUUUAUUUUGUUCUAGCAUUGAUUCUUUCUGUGUAUAGUCAUAAGCCUAUUGACAUGAUUUUUUAUUUUAGUAUAUAAUUAUUAUUAUGAUAGCGAAGGGAGCCUUGGAGCAAUAGUAAAGAUCAGUGAUCAUCACGGGUUCGAACAAUAGAAACAGACAGUAUUAAUGCUUGCAUUAAAAGGUGGACUAUCUACAUUAUCUAUAAUAUAUUAAAAGCGUAAAGGCCUUUAAAAAAGUGAAUCGAAUUAUUUAUCCUUCAUUAAAAUACUUCGUAAUAGAUAAAAUCGUCUUUCCAUCUUUUUUCUUUAAUUAUAUUUAAUUAAAUAUAUGAAUAAUUAGUUUUGGUAAUUUUUUUUCUCCUUGUAUAUGUAAAAGAAGAAUUCUCAAAAUCUAUGGUACUAGCAAAAAGGAAAACAUUUAUAAGGUUUUUUCUUUUCGUAUAUGUGAAAAAGGAAUCCCAAAAUCUAUGAGAAUAGAAAAAAGGAAUAAAACAUUUAUAGGGUUUUUCUUUUCCAAAUUAAUAUUCGUAUGUCUUUUAGUUAAUAAAUAGCUUGCUAACCUUUUUUUUGGUCUACGGUUGUAUAUGUGUUCUAGCUUAUGUGGAUGAACCUUUUUAAAAUUAUAAAAGCAUAUAAUCAAGUUAAAGGAAAAAUUAAAUUAUCAAAAAGGAGAAAUUAUUUCCUCAUAUAUGCUAUGGUAGAUUUUCUUCUACGUUAUUCUCUUAUUUUGAUUUAAGUUGCCUUCUUACCAUCAUUAUUAUUAUUCUUUCUAUUUUUCUUUAUUUUUUUUAGUUAAUAAUUUUAAAGUUUAUAUAUGAAUUAUGCAUAAUCAGCAUUAACAAUGAAUUAUGAUUUUAAUAAUUUCUCACGUUUCUCUUUAAUUUGGUCCUAUUUUUUGAACAAGAACUUAACAACUAUAUAGGUGCUCGUCCCCGUACAUAGUGGAAACAUGAUUAAAGAAAGGAAGGCGUCAAUAAAUAUAGAACUCAUAAAAUAUGAAAACUAACAUUCAAGGUAACUCAUGUACUCAUUUUGUGAUAUUCUUUUAAGAAAAAAUAUUAUAUUUUAUUUAAAGUUAAUUAUUAUUUUUUAAUUAUUUAUUCUUUUAUAUAUUUCAUGUUAAUUGGAGGCUUGACGUGAAACACACGUACACUAAUUUAGUAGAGAAAAAUGUGCGAAAAUAUCUGUACUUAGACGAAUUUUGCAGUUACGCACCUUGAACUUUACGGGGUCCUAUGACCCCCCUAAACUAUUUUUUCUCGUAUUUAAAUGACAAAUAUUUGCGCCUUAUUAAAAUUUUUUUCCUUACGCACUCAAUGUGCGUGAAAUAUACGCAGUGGUCCAAGUGCCAAAUAUAUGCCACUUAAAUACGGUAAAAAAUAGUCUAGGGAGGUCAUAGGACCCCCGCAAAGUUCUGGAUGCGUAACUGCAAAUUUCGUCAAAGUAUAGGUAUUUUUCGCACCUUUUCCCCCUAUAUUAUAUAUACUCUCGGAGCACGACCUCUUCUCUGACCUUGCUAAUGAUGCAGUAUACUCUCGGAGCACGACCUCUUCUUUGAACCUUGCUAAUGAUGCAGGAUGCUUUGGGCACCGUGCUGUCCUUUUUUAGGUUUGUAAAACAAAAUUAAACUUCACCCUAGAAAUGGAACAUCAAGAUUCUAUUCUCCAGAUGGAUUACUUCACUACUACACUCCUGGUGCUUAGAUAUUUGUAUUAUAUACCCCUUAUUUAUUUAUAUCACAACAAUAACAUGUCCAGUGUAUUUUCAUAUAGUGGGGUCUGAAGAGGGUAAAGUAUGCUCAGUCCAUACCAGUACCUCCGAAGAAGUAGAGAGGCUGUUCCUGAUAGACCCCCGGCUCAGAACAAAGGACAAUAAACAAAGUCAUAAUAAAAUAUGCCACAGGAUGAAAUAACAAAAAGUAAACACCUACAAUGUAGUACUCUAUAUUAUCACGUGCACACACACCUCAACCCCAACUCUCCUAUGACUACUAGCACGACUGCAACCAAAGUACUCCUAACUACCCUAAUUCACACCCGCACUAGCCGUCUACCCUAAUUCGCUUCCUCCAUAACUUCCUAUCUAGGGUCAUAUCCUCAGUAAGCUGUAGUUGAUCCAUAUCAUGUCUAAUCACCUCACUCCAGUAUUUCUUCGGCCUACCUCUACCCCUAUUGAAACCAUCCAAAUUCCAACCUCACACCUAUGAACUGGGGCAUCAGUGCCCCUCCUCAUCACAUGACCAAACCAUUUCACCCUCACUUAUCGCAACUUGUCCUCCAUCGAAACCAUACUCACCUUCUCCCGAAUAAUCUCAUUCGUAACCCUAUCUCCCCUAAUAAGCCCAUCAUCCAACACAACAUCCUCAUCUUCGCCACCUUCAACUUCUGUAUAUGAGAGUUCUUGACUGGCCAACACUCUGCCCCAUACAAUAUGGUCGGACGGACUGUCACUCUAUAAAAUUUACCUUUAAGCUUGGGGGCUCCUUCUUAUCACAUAAAACUCCCGAGGCAAGCCUCUAUUUUAUCCCCCCCUCCAUAUAUAUAUAUAUAUAUAUAUAUAUAUAUAUAUUGACUCCUGAAUAUGGGUUUAGUCGAACUUAGUAGCUUUGCUUAAACAAUAUAUCUGUAUUAAGAAAUUCAUUAAAUAUAUAUAAAUAUUAAGUUUAGAAACCAAUUAUCAACACUACUUCAAGUGGUCAUUCUAAAAUUCAGAACUCAUAAAAUUGAAAUUCUCGCUCCUCCUCCGAUAUCACAAUGAACUUGUAAUAUGUAUCUAUUUUUUUAUUAUUACUAUCUACAAAAUGUGCAUGCGAUGGCUAUAAUCAGUGAGAAUUUAUACAGUCGAUCCAAAAUACUUGUUUGAAAUCGAAACGUAACAGUUUGUUAUUGUUAUUUUAGUGACGUGUGGUAUUCCUACUUAACAAACGAUUAUAUUGACAUGUUAGGAACAUAGUAUCAUUUAUGUCUCUCUGUAUAUAUAUUCGUGAUGGAAAAUUCAAACACAUGUAAUAUUCUUCCCAAUAUUCUUUUUAAGAUUAAAUAAAAUGUUGGCAUUUUCAACCUUUCAAAUAUUUAGCAUCCGAAAUUUGUUUUAAAAAUCGACUGACUUGAUUUUACGCAACGUAAGAUUCAUGAUAAGAGAUAUAUAGUGCUGUGAAGAAUUUUCUUUUUUUUUAUUUAUCGGGUUCGAACCAGAGACAUUUACUCCCUCGUCCCAAAUUGAGGUGGUACAUUGAUUAAGAAAAUAAUAAAUAACAUGCCUAGUUUAUUAUAGUACCCCUAUUAAAUAAUGUUUACAUUUUAAUUUAAAGAAAAAGUAAUUAAUGCAAAGGGUAAAAAAUGAAAUUUAUUUUUUUGUCUCUUCUUAAUUAAUGUAAAAAGACAAGUAAAAUGAGACAUUAAAUUAGAAAAUUUGGGACGGAGGGAGUAAUUAACAAAAAUAUACAUGCAUGCAACUUGGUAAGAUUAAAUGUGAACCAUUUAUUUCUUCUAAAAAAAUAAAAGUAAAAAUUCCAGCAUGAUCUAUAUAUCGCCUCACAUUCAAUCUAAAUCUAGAAAUUUCUUAUGAAAAGCACCAAUCCUCUAAGAACAAAGUUUAUGAUCUCUUCUCUGUCAUAAUAUUAUUCUUGAUCUAUAAUUUCAUUGGCCAACUUUAAAAGAAUUUGGUUAAAAAGUUGGAAGUGACUUCACAAAGAUUUUGAUUAUUUACAAAAACACUAAGAAUAAAUUCAAAUUCUUCGGAUCAUGUGUCUUGCAAUCAAAUCAAUUGGUAAAAAGAAUUACUCCGUUUUAUUUUAUUUUUAUGUGACAUAAUUUAUAUUACACUGAUUAAACUAUGUCACAGAAGUUAAAUUUUUGAUUUUUAAAAAAACUAUAUUAUUACUAUUCCAAAUAAAUUUGAUAUAUAUGAUUUGGUAUUUUUAAGUUUGAUUUCUAUAUUUUGCGAUAUGAUAGAUCGCUAAGCAUAGUUUAUUCGACUUUGACUUAGGUAUAAAUAUAUAAGCAUAUUACAAAGAAUCAUGACUCUUGUCUUUCAAAAAAAUAUAUCAACUAUAUUAUAUUAACACCUUAAACAUUAAAAAUAUUCAAACAAAAAUAUCAGCAAUUCCUUUCGUUAAUCACUUACACAAAUAAAAGUGUCAAUAAUAAUAAUAAUAAUGUCAUCUCAAUAAUGCAUUACGUGAUUAUCUUUCUGUCCCAAAGAGAGGGAGAUAAAACAGGUUAAUGGGAAUAAAAUUAAAGACAUGAAAAUAAAAUUCAUCCCAAGAUGCCCUUUUUUUUAGUUUCUUCAUCGUUGUUCGACAUCCAUAUUCAAAUUUCGAUUAAUCAGAAUUUAAGCUGCAACACUUCCUAAUUGGAUUUCUUUUUAUAUUAAGAACUUAAAUUCAAAAUCUGUAAUUAAAAUUGAAAAAAUUCUAUUUAUCCCACCACAACUAAUCAGUCUAAAGAUACCUCAAAAAUAAAAAUAAAAAAAUAGAGGGACUACAUGAAAAGUUGAGGCUUUAAGGAACCAACUAAUAAAACAAGAAUAUGCUUCAAAAUAUAUAUGCUAUUAAAGGACUGCCCCAAUUGUGUUGGUCAUAUAUCUAUAUUUAUUUUGUGGUGUGGUGUAAUAGCUAUAUUAUUUGUUCACCUAUUUAUCACACGUAAUUAUUUUUUUGCUUGUUUUCAAUAUUGUGUUUCAUAUUUUUCCAGGCCGGAUUAAUUCAAAUUCACGUUGGCAAGAAACUUUUAAAUACAUUAUUCCCACUUUAUAUAUUUGAGGCAACUAAUAGUGUUUGGAGAGCCAAAGGAAUUUUUCUUUGAUAAUAUGUGUAUAUAUAUAUAUAUAUAUAUUGCACAUACUAUAGACACGUAAUUUUGUCCUAUUCUUAAAAUAUUUUAAUUAUUUUUAUUUUAUUUUAUUUUUUUAAUUUUAAUUUUAAUUUUAAUUUUAUUCACCUUACCAUACUUUUGUUUAAUUGAUAAUUUCUCAUACACAAAAAAAGAAUUGAAAAUAAUUAAAUACAUAGCAUCUUUGCCACCUCACUAUGCCACCUCAACACCUCACUUUCUAUUUUUCAUUGGAUACAUGCAAAAGGCACACGCCCUACUCAUUUUUCCACACCCCACCCUUAUCUUUCCACAUGCCACACACUUAUUCCCACACGCCACCAAAUAUCUGCUUCCACCUCAGAGACAAGAAAAAGAAAAACCAAAUAAAAAAUAUAAAAGGAAAAUUCUAAAAGGAAAAAAAGGGGAGGCUCAUUCUUUUAUCAUCAUCUUCUCCACAAUAACAACAAUCAUCAAAUCAUCUUCCUCACAAGAAGAACAAAAAAAAAUCGACGGAGAGAAGAGAGAAUCACGCGGGAGAGAAAAAAAAAUCGAGAGAGAAACAGUAUUGUGAACAGUGCCAUGAACAGUAUUGUGAACAGUCCCAUGAACAGUGUUGUGAACAGUCCCAUAAACAGUGUUGUGAAUAGUACGUGAACAAUGUCUGUUUUUGGGUUCGACUGGAUUUACGGAGAUUCAGUUUUAGGUCUCAAAUUUUUCAAUACGGAGUUGGAGUUCGUCAUUGUUGAGGUCCUAUUAGGAAUUCUAUAUUUCGGGCUUUCUUAAUUUUACUAUCAACGAAAUCGAUUCUCAAAGGUCCAUCUCUCAACUCUAUUUUUUUAUUAUAUUGAAAUUGGUUAAUAUCGUGAUUUUGUGGUGCGGUUUUGAAUAUUUCGAGCAAAAUGUUAAUUGUUGUUGUGGAUAUGAAUGAUUGGUAUGCUUAAAUGUUUGAAUCUUCGUUGGGGUAUGUGUUGUUGGUUUUGAAUUUUGAAAAGUGAUUUGAUAGUCGAACUGGUUUAAUAAUGUGGUUAAAAAUGGAUUUGGGGGAUGAAAUUGAGAAAUUGAUAAAAAAGUUGAAUUUAGAUUAGCUUUGGUUUAUUGUUAUUUUGUUUAAUUCGUAAUGAGCAUGAAUAUUGUUGGAAUGUGAUAAAAUUAUGUUAUGUUGAAAUAGAUAGGCGAAUGUUGGUUCGGGUAGGCAAAAAUUUUGGGAAUAAGUUUUCUUGUUGAAUGUUUGAAUGUGGAUUUUGAGUUGAACGGUUUGGUUUUAGUUCUUGCAUUUGGAAAUGUAUUCAUUUAAUCGGGGAAUGCCCCGCUAUCACUUGUAUUUAUUCGCUGAGGAACGCCCCGAAGUAUUUUGUAUUUGAAGGACGUCCGUGAUGAAGGCCCGAGGCAUCGGAUAGCAUGGGAGCAUAGUAUAAAAUUAGUGUAGGGUAGAAUAGGAUUUACAUUUUUGCAUUCUCUUUCUAUUUUUGGACUGUAUAAUUGAACUGGAUAUUGUUUUUGGAUUCGUUUGCUUGAUUGAUCGUUUUAUUUAUGUUUGGUGUGGUUUAUACAUUCAUAGUGUCCAAAUUAACCGAUAUACUCCACCAACCGACCGUGGUCGAACCACGGAAUCGAGGGGUGCCUAACACCUUUACCUCGGUCAACAGAAUUCCUUAGCCGAAAUCUCUGUUCGUAGAUCAGUUUUAUAGAGUCAAAAUCGUUUUGAAAAAGGAUAUCCCUGGGUGACUUGGCACACCUGAUUUAUGCCAAGUGUCGACUCUAAGUUUUGAAACUAAUGAAUCAUUUUUUGAAAUAAUUUUCAUCUUUUGUCACUUUAAUAAUAAAAUCCUUUCGAAAUUUAAAAUUGGAUCUUUUUGGGAGUGAAAAAAAAGGGGUGUGACAGCUCUAGCGACUCUGCUGGGGUUCAUUUCAGAAUUUGAGCUUAUUUUUGGAGUUGUAUCGGCUUAGUUUCGCAUUAUUGGUGUAUAGAUGUUGUUUGUGUCAUUUUGUGUUAUUGUUUUUUUUCAUUGUUGAAUGCCUAGCUGUUCUUUGUUUACAGUUUUUCUCUUAUGUAUUACCGCUUUAUAACUGGCAUCAUGUGCAUAACCCGAGUCAAUUCUUUCUGCAACAAGUUCUGUAGUACACGUUGUGUACACGUCCUAUAGUUGAGUCACCCUUAUUUUAAAAGAGGGGAGCCGUCGGCUGGUAUGAAGUAGGUGGACAGCCAAAGCAGCCACUAUCGACCAUACGCUUCCCCGAACAGCCUUGUUAGUGAACCCCUGCGUAGCUUAGCCUUUAGAUCAUACUUAUGUGCAUCAUAUUGAGACCUAGCGGACCCAUUUGGUCCUUUGUAGGAGACUCACCUCUACAGCAUCCCUAUGUGCUAAAUGUUGCAUCUUUGAGGGUAACGUGGUUAUUUGACGGACCAAUUUGGGGAAAGUAUGUGUUAGAAGUAAAAUGUGUAGGCAAUAGAAAAUCGAAAAAAAAAAAGAGAGAAAAUGAAAAGGUGAAUAAAAAAAAAGGUUUUGUAAUUUUUUUAGAGGUUUUUAUGACUUUUGUUCUUCACAAUCAAAAAAUUCAAAAAAAAAAGUUUUUUUCUUUUACCUUUUGCAUUUAUUUUCUCAAAAAAAUAAAAAUUCAAAAAGUUUUUUUUUUCACCAUUUGCACAUCUUCUCAAAAUACAAAAAAAAAAAAGCAUCAGAAAGAUUUUCCUUUUGUUUCUUUAGUAAUCAUUCAUAAUUCAAAAAUUAAAAAAAAAAGAUUUUUCAUUCAUAGGAGUUUUCAUAACAGAAAAAUAAAAAAAAAUGGUAGAAGUUUUGUACAUUUCAUAUAAUGAAAGUACCAAAAAGAUUUUAAUUUCAUAGUUGUUGGUGUCAGUCUUAUGUGGAGUGUCAAAGUGAAAACCCCCCCAAAAAAAUAAAAAAAAAUUAUCGUUGUAGUUUUGUCUCUCAAGUCAGGGUUCAGUCAGUUAUUUAAUGCUUAAUUGUCCUAUUUGGAUGACCUACGCACCCCUGAUUCUCCUCUUUCGGGAGUGAGAUACGUAGGCAACCUAUUGUUGGUUCGGGGAUCUUAUUUGAAAAAAAUCCAAAAAAAUUUUCUUCACUCUUUAUUUAGAGUUAGUGUUUCAUGUACAUCUUUAAAAGAAAACUGCAAAAAAAUUUUCCUUUAAUAGGUUUAGGUUUUAUUUUCAUAUGAAAUUUAAAACUGAAAACCAAAAAAAAAAUAAAAUAUUUUGGUAAUUAUAGGUUUCAUUUUGUAUAGGGAGUUUAAACUUGAAAAUGCAAAAAAAAAAAAUAAAAAAUAAAAAAAAUUUCGUCAAUUCUUUUGACAAUUUGUUAUUUUCUUUUCUGUUUAAAGUUUCAAGAAAAAGAAAAAGAAAGGAAAAAGAAUUAAUUGACCAUUUUGGCAAGACUUCACGAACUACGCACACCUGAUUCUCCUCUCUCGGGAGUGAGAUAUGUAGGCGCCCUUCUUGGGUUCAGUGACCUUUUCAAAAACAAAAAAAAAGAGGUUUUGAAAAAAAAAAGUGUUGAAUUCUAACGCAUUUGCUAUCUCUUGUUCAGUUAGUUUAAGGUGGUUGGUUUGUGACAUUUUGGCUGGUCCUCCAUAUUACAUCAAGUCACAGAGAAAGUUAUGGCCAACAAGGAUAUCGAGUUUGUUGUCACUGAUCAGAUAGGGAGUUUGGGCAAUGAGAAUUUAGGAUCUAAUGAAGAGAUUCGAAAACUAAGACAACAAAUGAUAGAAAUGCAUCGAGCUUGGGCUAAUGGGUUGCCACCUCCUCCAUUUCCCGCUGAUAAUUUGGAUCAUCUUUCUAGCUUGUCUCCAGUGUCAUAUACACAGUUUCCUAUUUUUGUUAACACACCACAACAUGCAUCAGAACCUGCUCCGGGCAACACUAUUCAAAUACUUCCAAUAUUCAUUUCCCCACUCCUCAACACAAAUCUACCACAUACUCAGCUCCACCUGCUGUUCAUGCUUUUGCGGUGCCACCCUUGUCUGAAGCUCCUGCUUUUAAUAUCAAUCCAACUGUUGUGAUUUCUCACUCUACGAGCGACCCUUUAAUGAAUAUUUCUAGUGAUCAGCAUUAUACUUCCGAGCCCAUACUUAAGUCGACUGGUCCAUAUGGCUACACUCAUCCGCCUUAAUUUUCUUUUAAUGCUGAAAAGUCUGUUAUGAAAGAAGAACAAGAGGAAAUGAUCAGAAAAUUGAGAAGUUUGGAACUAGCUAUGAAGAAUCUCCAAGGACUUGGGGGGUACAAAAGUGUCUCAUAUAAAGAUCUGUACAUGUUUUCGGGUGUUCAUCUCCCUCUUGAUUUUAAAAUGCCAAAGUUUGAGAAAUAUGACGGACAUGGGGACCCAGUGGCACAUUUGAGGCGCUAUUGUAACCAAUUAAGCGGCGCUGGAGGGAAGGAAGAACUACCCAUGGCUUAUUUCGGGGAGAGUCUUUCAGCCUAGCUUCGGAAUGGUUUGUUGACCAAGACAUUAAUAAGUGGAUUAGUUGGGAUGACCUAGCUAAUGGAUUUGUGCAACAAUUUCAAUACAAUGUGGAGUUGAUCCCUGACGAAAAAUCCCUAACUAGUAUAAAAAAGAAGAAUACUGAGAGUUUCAGGGAGUAUGCGAUCAGAUGGCGCGAACAAGCUUCUAGAGUAAAACCGCCAAUGAAAGAAAGAAAAAUAGUGGAGGCGUUUAUUCAAGCGCAGGAUGNNNNNNNNNNNNNNNNNNNNNNNNNNNNNNNNNNNNNNGAGGUCCUUAAAAUGGGGGAGAUGAUAGAAGAGGGAAUUAAGACUGGUCGCAUUGUGAGUUUUGCAACAUUAAAAGCGACAACUCAAGCAAUUCAAAUGGGUUCAGGAAGUAUCGGGGAGACAAAGAAUGAGAAAGAUGCAUCUUCUAUUGUAGUUGGACAGCGAACACGAUCAAGAAGACCCCGUUGUCGUCACUUUGAGGUUCAAACCCUAGUUAGUGCCCAAGCUCCACAUAAUCACUCCCAAAAUCCAUUAUACUCUGCUCUUCCACCUCUGUAUCCACUAUAUCACGCACAACCACAUGUUCAACCCCCAUGUUACCCACAGUGGAACACACUAACUCCUCAGAGUCGUCCUCUAAUUCCACAAACAUACCAAAACCCUUCUAAGCCUGAUUUUUGAUCCAAGACAAAUGAUGAAAUGAGGCAGAAGUCGAGAGAUAACUUCACACCAAUUGGAGAGUCGUAUGCCAGUUUAUUUCAAAGAUUAGUAUAAUGGGGCAUGGUCACUUUUCUCCUUGGGUGCACUCUUAAUCGGCGUUCAAGAAAUUUUAAUCCUAAUGUACGAUGUGCGUAUCAUUAUGAUGCUCAGGGUUAUAGUAUUGAAGAUUGUUGAGAUUUGAAAAGAGAAAUUAAAAAGAUGAUUCAAGAUGGAUCAAUUAUGGUGCAGAACAUUGAUAGUGAGAGAAAAUCUAAUCAUGCUGAUAUACAAACCAGUAACUAAGAUAUCAGGCUGAGAAACUGAGAAGUCACCUCUUUCCUUACUAGGAAGAGGUUUGGUAGUUUGUUUUGUUUUAUUUUCUGUUAUCCGAAUUAUUUUAGGAUUGUAGUUUGGGAUCUAUCUUGUUUUGUCCUUUUGUCGUUUAUGUUCAAACCCUUCUAUCUUUUGUUUCAACUAAAUGAAGUGUCCUAUUUUCCUUUGUGUUUUAAAUAUGUGUUGAUUUUUUUCUUUACAUAGUACAUUUUAUGUUGACUUUAGAGAUAUGACAUGUUAGGAAAAUUUUCAGCCAGAUCUUGAAAUCCAGUUUAAGCAUGAGCAUUGAAUCAGAGGGUUAAAGUUAGAAAAAGAGAGUAUGAGAAAAUAGAUAGAGUGCUGGGGCAUUUAGUGAUCAAGUUGAAGCCUUCUUUGAAAAUUAAAGCAAUUAUUUUGAGAAUCGUGAGAAUAACUUGGCCAGCAUUUGAAAGACAUAUCUCAAUUAAGUCAAAUAGUGUAUGUGUGAUCCUACAUCAAAAGGAAUAGAAAAGUUAGCUCCACGAAAGUAUGAGAAAUGUACAACAAAAAUGGAGUUGGCAGAAGAAGUAGCGACGCACAGUCUCAGUUAAAAUUAGUGCUGUAAAAAUAUCACAAAUGAUCUUCAUCUCUCACUUUCAUAUUGCAUAAUAUGUACUUGCAUUUUAAAGGAUUGAUAUGACGAAGGAAUUUCAUUAUGCUAUCCAAACAUUGUGUCAUCCUUUGUUUAUCCCAUUUGAGCUUUAGUCCUAUUUUCUUUCAUACCACUCUUUUGGAAUCAAGAUAGCGUCAGCAAAGCUCAAAAGUGUCGAGCAAAAUAAUAGAGUCAUAAAGUUUCAAAAAAAAAAUGAGAGAAAAAAUGUGUCCAAAAGAAGGAAAAAAAAAGAGCGUCAAGAAAAAAUAGAGUCAGAAGGUCCCAAAAAGAAGAAAAAAAUCAAUAAAAAAGUUAACAAAAGAAAAAAAGAAAAAAUCAGAAUCAAGCAAAAGAACAAGCCGCCGGAACUACGCGUGACCUGAUUCUCCUCUUUCGGGGUGAUAUACUUAGGCUGCCCUACUCUGGGCUCGGUCCAACCAAAUAGAAAGUUUAGAAUUGCCCAGUCAAAAGAAACUGGGGCAUGAGUUAAUCCUCAUUGUUUGAUUCAAUUCCAAAAGCUGUAAGUCAUACCCCACUUCAGGUGUCGUUUAGGCCCCAUGCCAUCCUUUCUUUCUAACCCUAUCCAAAAGUCAAGUUAUAACCAAAGAAAUACCUUCAGAUCAAUAUUUGAGAAUGUUACGGCUAAGCAUGCAAUGGAUGUGAUGACGCAUUUUGGAUACUACUUAUCUUCCUCGACAUAAGGAAUCAAGAGAAAAAUAAAAAUAAGAGAAUCUUAUUCGUGAAAACCCUCACGGACACCGUAAGAUGAUGGUAAGUUGGGAGAGAUAAAAAUAAGAGGGUCUGAUCAGUGAAAAAUCGUAUGGGCACUGUGAGACGACUGUGAGUUGAAAGAAAUGAAAAUAAGGGAAUCUUAUUGGUGAAAAAGACCUCUCAGAUACUAUAAGGCAAUGGUCAGGUGAUAAAAGAAAAUGAGAGAGACUUGUUUGCGAAAACCCUUUAAGGCGCCACUAGCCGAAUGAAGUCUCCAAAUGCAAUUGGCCCAAGAAAGCAACUCACUUUCAAGGUCAUUAACUCAACAACAAUUUGUAAGAGUUUUGGAUGGAAAGAUCAGGCAGUUUAAUCCGAUAUGCAUGUCAUAAUCAUUAGAGUUGACUUUUAUUUUCAGAUAAACUUUUCUUUCAUCUUUUUCAAUGGGGACAUUCAUUAUCAUUUCUUUCUUUUUUAUAGUUAUAUUUUUAUUUUUCUUGAGUUAGUUAUCCAAAUAAUCAUUAUCAUUUUUCUCUUGUCUUUGAGUCAAGUCUAUGUCAAAACAAGUGAGAAAAGAUUUCAAAACUGGCUACCAGCUUCUUCAAUUAUACAAAGUAAGGCAGAAAGGCCAACGCAUGAAAGAGACAUGAUUGUGAGCCAAAAUGAGGCAAGUAGAAAGUUUUGUCAACAAAUAAGUCUGGGAACUCAUCAAAUACCAAGGUUCUAAGGGGUCUAUCUGAGAAGCAUGAAAAAGCAGAGAUGCCGUGUUUGUCUCAGUCACUCUUAAUAAUUCGAGUUCGGUCAAUGAAGCAGCAAGUCAAUGACACAGGUUAAUGGUUGGAAGCAAGGUUAAAUGUGAUGACGACAAGAACGUUUGCCACGAAAGUUAAAGCCACAAACAAGCCACCAUGUUUUUAAACUCACAACUUUUCUUUGCAUGAAACAGGAACACAUGUUACCUUCAAAUCAAGGAUUUCAAAGCCUAAACAUUAAGG